rnacentral:lncRNA from 1 species
AAACCAUCCAUAACCGAAUAGGCAAAGGUUCUUUCUUCAUCUCCUGCAACGAGUAAUCCUAUUGCAGCCUCUGGUGUAAGGGUUAACCGGAGCUCUAGAUUUGAAGCAAUUAUUAGUAUAAUAAGAUCUACCUGACCUUGGAGGGCAAGGAAUUCUAUUAGCCGCAAGAGCUCCGUAAGAGAUAUAAUAAUGAACUCUUCUCCAGAACAAAGAUCUACGGUCGCCUAUCUCUUCAUUUUCUUCGUCACUAUCUAAAUCUAUCAAUCCAUUGUCGAACUCACCUUUCCCUUCCAAAUCACUGUACAUAGACAUCGCCAUUGGCCAUUCGAGACUGUCCGCCAUUAUCUUCAACCCUGUUUCUUCCACUUGAGCUUCGAUUCCUAAGCUAAGAGAGAGGGAAACAGCGAAAAGGAAAGUUAAGUGUUUAGAAAUCGCCAUUGGAGGGAGAGAUUUGAAACUAAACUAAGCUUGAGAGAGACUUAAGUAUGUCUGUCAAUGGCUAGUUGGGUGCUUUCUUUUUGAGUGAUGGAGAGGGAAAAGGAAGAGUAGGGACAAGAGGAAGAGGUCACAUGGAGCUGCAGUUGAAGAUAGAGAGAGAUUGAUUGGGUUACAGCUGUGCUUCAUCAAUGCAUCAAUUAACGCGUCGUCCAAUUCUGGUACAGUUUUGUUCGCGCAAGGGAGAGAGUAGAAAGAAAUGAUUCUGUGUGUUAGGUUCCACAAGAUAGAUUUGUGGUAUGAUGGGUUUCUUGAAAUGUGGCAGUAUCUAAAUGGGUGUUAUGGGAAGUGACAAGUGGAAAUACUGUGUUAAACGGUGUCGAAUUCGUCUCUUUCUCUAUUUUGCGCAAAGGGUGGCGAAUAAGACAGCGGUACAUUCGGCAGGUUGUCCUAAACGACGCGGCUGGUCGGACAUGUUCGGUCCCACAUUAAAGUCAUAUAUGUAUAAUAUUAAUAUUACCAAUUAUUAAUCAUCUACUUCUCCAAAAAGAAAAAAAAAAUUAUGAAUCCCCUAGAUUGAUAAUUGAUCCCAACCUUAAACUUAACAAUAAAAAAAUCCUUUCAAUCAAAUUUUAAAAAACGGAAAGGUUGUUUUUCUUUUUCUAAUAUAAUAUCCUCAGAAGUGGAAUUAUUAGUGAGAUUUUGAACUCAAUUUUUAAAAAGAAAAUAUAAAUUAAUUAUGAUGCGGUUAAAACAGUAUUAUGGAAUCAGAUUGACCAGUGAGACCAGUUAAAAUAGAAAAUGACACUUUUAAUUUAAUUAUAAAGUUAGCCCAAUUUGUAGGGAACCAAAUGUUAGAAUAAUUGAAUUUUUUUAUAAAAAUAUAUUGUUUUCAUUUAACAAUUUUUUUAGAAAUUAUUGAGUAAAAUUUUUUUAUUUAUAUAUAUUAUUUUGUUUUAUAGGAUGCAUAUUUAAUGAGAAUAAUAUAUCAUAUAUAUUAACUAUUACAAAAAUAAUAUAUAUAUAAAUGUUAAAAAAAAAAAAGAUUGAAUCGGUCUGAUUUUAACUCAAUCAUAGCAUCGAUUCGGUUGUUGAUCCGGUUCACUUUGAUUUCGAGAAAUAUAUGGUCAGAUUUUUUUUGAGUUGCUGGCUAUUAUAAUAAAAAAUAAAUCCAAUUUUAUCCCUAUCCUAUUUUUCAAAAUUCGUUGGGUACAACAUUAUCAUGUAUGUAUCUGAAUAGUCGGUGCUAAAUGUUGGGAUAGAUUGACACAUUUAAUGAUCUUCCAAGGAGGCCAUCUAGCGUUCUCUAAUACAAGGCCAACUCCCUCACAAUUGAUUUUGCUCCGAGUAUAAUCUUGUAACUACCAGAAUACAUAUAUUCACCCCUCCAAUCUCACAUUUUAUAAUUUUAAUUUUGUAACAAUUUAAACUUUAUAAUAUGGUUUAUCAUGCAUCUGAAUUUACAAAUUUUAAUAACACUGCAUAUAUUUACACAUUAAAGAUAAUAAUUUUUAAAGUUUUUUAAUUUUUAUAUGUAAAAUGCUGAUUUGAUAUGUAAUUAGUAUAAUUUUUGUAUAAAUAUUUAAGUAAUCUAAUUUCGUAAAUCAAAGUGUUUAAUUUAUGUAAUUUUAUAAUUUAAAGUAAAAAAAAAAGCCGAAAGUGACAUAAAUUUAAACUAAUAAGGUUUAGGGAUGGAUUUAUGUAUUAAUUAUUUAGAUUUCUUCUUUCUAAAUUUUCUUUCUAUAUUGUGUGCAGUAAGAGAGAGAAUAUAUUUGCUAAGUUGAUGUAAAAUCUAGAUCAUCUUUCUUUGCAUUUAUCUAUGAAGUUCAGAAUCUUAUAAUUCAUGUUUAAUUUCUUAAUAAUAAAAAUUAACAUUUGAAAUCAAGUUAAAUUCUGAGAUUGAAGAGAAUUAUUGCAACCAAAAAAAAAAAAAAAACUACUAAUAAAGGUAAAUGGGCUCGCAAGCGCAUAUUAUCUUGGAUUUAAAUUCAUAGGCUUAAAAACCCAAAAGACCAUUCAUUUUGUUCAUCAAAAGCCAAGCCCACCUAUAGACUUUUCAAGCCCAAAAGAAAGGGCUAGAUUGGGCACAAAUUGAAAGUCAAUAAUCAAAAUGGAGAACACGAGUAGCUUGAUGAAGGAGAUAGGGUGCUUGGAAUUUGGAUCUGUUUCUAUGGGCUGCCCUAGAAAUAGAACACCUACCUAAACUAUAUGCCAAUAGAUUGAAUUUAAGACUUUCAAUCGCUCCAUACUGUAAAAAAGAAAUGAACCCAACUUCUAACUAGUCGCUUAUCACUGCUUAUCACUUAUUAUGAUUCAUAAACUCGGUCUAGACAAGAUAAUCAUUUAAAUUUUUUAAAUAUAUAUAUAUAUUACCCACACAUAUUAAUUUUUCUGACCAAGCUCACCCCCAAGGCUCUUGGAUUCUCUUAAUGAGGCUAUAAGAUUGGACAAAAGCUAUGACAAAUAAUAUAUAUAUAUAUAUAAUGCAGUACUUAUAUAAUUAAGAAAUUAAAGAAACCGUGACAACCAAUGAGAUAACUCAAUCAUUACUCAGUAUGACAAUCUCAGCUGUUAGUGGUCCGUUAUUCAUUGUUUUUACUGUCAUACAGAUUCCUUUCUUCUCUCCAUAUAUAUUUGCAUGCUGAAAAUGGCAGAGAGAACCCACAGGAAAAUGCCAUUUUAGUCCAGUUCUAAAUGGAUUAAUUAAAGAACAAACUUUAAAAAAAAAAGAAAAGAAAAGAAAAAAACUUAUCGUUCCAAUUGGACUGAACAGAGCUGAAUGCGUGUAAGUAUUAAUUUCAUGACCUAUAUAGUUUUGACGAAAGUGCACCGACCCUUAAUUCUUAGCUAGCUUUUACAUUUUUUGCAGGGGUUGACACUGCAAUUUUGUGCAUUUAUGAAACCAAACUGUCACUCUCUCUUUAUAUAUAUAGUACAGUUGAAUUUUAGAGCCCGCGUGUGAGGACCUAUUAUUGCACCAAGCUCAAGCUGUUCAUGAGCUGAGUAUGAACUUUGGAAAUAUUAAAUUUUCCAAAAAUCUGGCUCAUUGGGUUUGUAACUCUUUUUUUAUAAAUUGAAAUUUAACCGUUAUGUAAAUGAGACUAAUUUAUGUCUGACAUGGAUUGUAUUCAGCUAAACUCAGUUUUUUUUUAAAGAACGACUCCAAGUCUCAAAUCUCUUAUUUUACAAGUAUAGUUGACUUAAAAUAUAGUUUACAUCAACUGUUCCAACUUUUUUCAGAGUUUUGUGGGAAGCAGUGGCAGUAAAAAAAAAAAAAUGUUAAUGGUGAUUAUGAGAAAUAAAAGGUAGACAACGUGAAAAGAAGCAGCUGCAAUGUGGGUAUUGGUUUGUCCAUUUUGGGGUAACUUAUGGGAGAGAAAGGAGGGGCGAAGAUUAUCAUGUUGAAGGAAAAGACAGAGAAAAGGGACCAUUUUCUGAGGAAAAUGGCAAUUAUCUCGUCAGUGUUAGAAUAAAAAAUAAUAUCAUAAACAGUAGUGUUUUGUGUAAUUCUUUUAUCUUAUUUUAUUUGCUUAUAGAAACAGAAUGAAUUGUAGGUUACUUUGAGUAUACUCAGAAUUGUAAGGAUAAAUCUCUAGUGAGUUCUAUUUAAUGUCCAAUUGAAGAGAGAGAGGUCCUCUACCACGUGCAUAUCUUAAAUCUUUAUGCUGUAGAGAUAAGAUAAUAAUAAUUCAAGAGAAAAGGAAAGAACUAUAUUGAACAACUCACACUCUCGCACUCAUAAACAGCCAUUCUUUACAUUUUGGAUUCUUUCUGUAUUUAGUUUUGAUGCCUUCAGUAUAGAACAGAACAUGUUCCCUUAUUUGAAUCAUCUUCUUCUAUUAGACUACGUGUUUUUCUAUAUAUAUAUAUAUAUAUAUAUAUAUAUAACAUUUUUCAUUUACUUUAUUUAACAAGAGAUUUAAAAUCUUACCGCAUUUUAUUUCUUUUUCACUAUUAAAUUAAACGAGUCGAGUUGAAUUGUAACGAACUCGAACAAAGUACUUAGACUCAAAUUUAAAUUCAAAUUUGAGCUCCACCCAUUUACUAAAUUUUAUUAAAUUUAUCAAAGGAAUAAAAAAAUAAUUUUAAAGGAAAUAUGAUGUCAUAACUAAGUUGCAAGAUUGGACUUACUUCCACAAGGAUAGAGAGCCGAAAGGCACCUUACACAAAUAAAGUCAAAUCACCAGCUAGCACCUAAAGAAAUUUACCAGUACAAAAGAAAUGAUCAGCUCAUGUACUUGCUCUACGAGUCGGACAGAGUCACAAUCAACCCUAAUCUGCUUUGAAAAGUGUGCCAAAGGGAGCAGCCCGAGAGGUGCGUCAGUUAAUGUACUAAUGAUCAUAACCCACCACCGGAAAGCCGGAAUGCUCCGCCGGCGGUGAUCUGUAAAUCAUAGAAUUGGCUGGUUAAUUUGCUUUGAGAAUAAUAAAUUAUGGGUCAAGGUGGGCGUUGGUGAUCUUCUGACAAAUGGCAUGUGAGUGGGGUUUCAAUAGUUCUUUUGUUAGUGAAAAAAAAUAUUUUAAAUUAGAAAUGGGAAAGAAAAAUCAAUCUAAGUAAGCAAAGCAAUAGCACUUACACAACUCAAAGAUCAAAAGCACUUAUUAUUAAAGGGGAUGCCAUAAAAGAAAGUCUCUCAAAGGGGUUCAUGCACCAGUACUCUUUAAUCUGAGCCUUCUACUUUGUGGGCCUAGUUUCAUGAAAGGUCUAUUUACCAUUGAUCUUUUCUACUUAUAGUUUAGAUUUUUCUAUUCAUUUAUCACUGGUAAAGAUCCAACGGCUGUUAAUCAAUAUCUUUAGAUUUAGGCCCACAUAAUGGGCGGUCACUAUCAAAAAUCAUAAAUUCAUCAUAAAUGAUCUCUGAGUCUUCUCUUUCUCUCUCUGUCAACUUUGCAUGAAUAAAAUAUUACAAACAAGUUGCUAUAUAAAGACUCACUUCUGUAACCCUACUGAAUUGGUGAUGGGUUUCUGAGAUAAUCCUGAACUUUCCAUCUCUAUAUUACACUUUUCUUCUACUUCUCCAUUUUUUUUUCUUUUAUCUCUCUGCUGCAUAAACAUCAAAAUCUUAAAAAAAUUAAAAAAGAAACCUAGUUUCUCUCUCUCUUAAGCUUCUCUCUUCUUCUUUCAGUUUCUCCAUACCUCUGUUACUCAGUUCAUCAAUCUCUCUCUCUCUUUCAGCCCAUUCUUUUCUCCAUACAGAGACUUUCUUUUCUUUCCUAAAUUCUUGGGUUCUUUCUUUCGUUCUUUCUUUUAUAAGCAUGGAUGUUGACAUGAUGAAAUCAUCAUCAUCAUCAUCAUCAGGAGAGGAACACAUGGACAUGAUGACAAUGAUGAUGCAAAUGGAAAAGCUUCCUGAUUUUUGUGACCCUAAUAUGCAACAAGAAAUCCAUUUUGGCUCCAAUGGAAAUAAUACUAUUUAUAAUGUUUCUGCUUCUUCUUCACUUCUUAACCCUAACCCAUCUCCUUCUUUACCAUUUUUGGCCACUACAACUCCAAUUCAAGAACCCAUUACAGGAUCUCUUCAGCCUAAUAUGGUAACAGCAACAAAAUUCAAAUAUCCACCUCCAUUUUCAAAUGCAAACUCGUUUUUAUCAUCAAUGGAAAAGAAAAACUCAACAGCAGCCAUUAGAGAAAUGAUUUUUCGCAUUGCUGCUAUGCAACCGAUUCAUAUAGACCCAGAAUCGAUAAAGCCUCCAAAAAGAAGGAACGUUAAAAUAUCUAAAGAUCCACAGAGUGUAGCAGCAAGGCAUAGGAGGGAAAGAAUAAGCGAAAGGAUAAGGAUUUUACAAAGAUUAGUUCCAGGAGGGACUAAAAUGGACACUGCUUCUAUGUUAGAUGAGGCUAUACAUUAUGUCAAGUUUUUGAAAAAGCAAGUGCAGUCUUUAGAACAAGCUGGGUCUAAUAGACCAAUGGCUGGCUUUCCGUUUUCAGGUUUAACAAUGCCUAAUAUGGGUUAUUCUUCUUUGGUUAAGAAUUGCCAGUCAAGUCCUCAUAUGGUGGGCUCAAUGCAGAUACUUAGAUAAAAGACAGGAUUGGGUUAAGGUUAAUUAUAUGAUUUUAAUGUGCAUUAGUUGUGGUUUGAGAGAUAUUGUAAAUUACUUAAGAUUAUUCAGCUGUUAUCUUGUUCCCUUUGUUGUGUAAUAUUAUUUCAAAUUGAUGAUUCUAAUUAUCAUUAUUAAUUAAUGUAAGCCUUGUUCCAAAAAUUCUAUUGUAUCUCUUCUCUCGUUAGAAUGUUGAAAAGAUCAAUGUCUAAUCUAUGACUUAAUUAAUUAAUUAUCAUAUCAAGUAAUUAAUGAAAUGGACUUAGAAAAAAGGAAUAUAGAUGCAUACGGCCUGUUUAAAUCUUCUUUCUGUCUGUCUGUCUUUCUUUUCCCCCUCUCUAUUUCUUCACUCUUGUUCGUUUUUAGAAACUUUCUUUUCUGUUUUUGAACUUCUAGAGAUUUUUCUUCUUUUCUUUUUUUCCUUUUCUAUAUAUACUCCAAAAGAAAAAUCUUAUAUAAGUGUCAAAGACUUAGAGAGUCAACAGUACUAAUAUAUAUAUGUAACCAUGCCAUGCUGUAAAGUUGGUUGGGAUAGUUUUAACACCUUAAACCUUGGAUCUUUUGUUACAUUAUGAAGCAGAUAUUUAAUUGUUUAGUUAUUAGGCAAAGGUCUAUGUAGUUUGUACUAAAUGUUAUGAACAAUAUGUACUUGAUUUUGAGCAAUUGAAGGAUCAAUUUAUUUUUUAUCGAAGAAUACAAAAUGAGGAAGCCUCUCAAUGGAGCGUUUGAAUGAGAAAAGCACGGACAGAAUCUGGUAAAAAUUCAGAACUAAGCUAUAAUUGCCUUCUGGGGUUCGACCAACAUUAAUUGAACCUUUACAGUAAGUGAAAUGGGGAUUGCCCAAAAGGUCGAUCGGUUACAUAUUUCCCAUACUUUGUACACAAAAAUAAGAGAUGAAUGUUGAGCUGUACAAAGAUAGUUUGGCACCCAACUUGCAGGAGAUGCUUCUCUUGAAGAGACUCCAUUCAAUAUCUUUUGUAAUUCAGUGUUCAUUGUAUACUGUUGUUCUACCAAAAUUCCUUUAGAUUCAACUUUAUCAUUGGAAUGGCUCACCCGAUCAAUUAUUUUUGGCACCCAUUCUAACCAUUCUGCUGUUUCAGACUAUUCCUUCUGACGAUCGAUUCUCAACUUCUUGCAAAAAGAAAAGACACAACUUGGUAAAGAUUCAACAGCCUAUUAUUCUGCUGGAGAAUAUGAUUAGAUUUCAUCAGAUUAGGAAAGAACCAAGCCAUCCUUAUCUAUACAUGGCUUUAUCAGUAUUUUAAAUUGCAACAUUCAAUUUUCAACCAUUAACUUUUUAUUGUUCGAGGAGUUCAAAUGAGAAGGCAUUGGAAAAUAAGAGGGACAAAAGAAUACUAUUUAGAAGACUAAAUCAAAUUGUCAUCAACUAACACCAGAGAUAUGAGUGCACAGUUGUUUUUACGUACUCUUCAAUCACAAAUAAUUAGAAAAAAGAAAUAUGAGAAAUGACUUAAACGAUAAGAUAUGUUUGAGUUGAGUGGACGGUUUCUAUAAAAAAAAUUACUUAUAAGAUAACUACGAAUUCUAAAACUAAAAUAAUCGUAUACUGAAAAAGUAUGACCUAGAAUAUAUAAUUAAAAAGCCGUGUAAAUUUGGGAUUUUCAUAAUAAUGCCAAAAAAUAAUUAAAAAAAAAAAUAGGCAACAUUAAUCUGAGUGGCCAAACUAAGUCACGCUCCAAAUCUCGUUAUCUCUGGAAAACUAAGACAACUAGUAUUUUUGUGAAUAGUUAACAUAAAACAAUUGAUUUUAGGAAUUCCAAAAAAAGGAAGAUUUAUUUUGGAAAUUGCAUUUGUGGGAGAAUUAAAAAAUUUUAUACUUUAUUAGUUAAAUUAAAAUUAUGUAUUCCACUCAAAAAAAAAAAAAAAAUGGAAGCAUACCUCCUAAUUUAUUUUUCUAAAUAUAAAAAAUACAUUUUNNNNNNNNNNNNNNNNNNNNNNNNNNNNNNNNNNNNNNNNNNNNNNNNNNNNNNNNNNNNNNNNNNNNNNNNNNNNNNNNNNNNNNNNNNNNNNNNNNNNNNNNNNNNNNNNNNNNNNNNNNNNNNNNNNNNNNNNNNNNNNNNNAAUAUAUAUAUAUAUAUAUAUAUAUAUAUAUAUAUAUAUUUCAGCUUAAUCUAACAUAGAAAGAUUUUUUUUUUUCUAUGGAUAUUAUCGUAAGUUUUAUAUUGUUGGUUGUUCUUACAUGUUAUUUAAAAAAGAGUUACCAAGGUCUUCUUUUGGUUUGGUGUCGGGCUAUGGCAAUGUUAUCUUGCAGGUUGAUUCAACUAGCCUCAACAUAGAUCACCAGGUCUGAUUAUGGCUUGUCAAAAACUUCUUCUUCGUUAAUGGCAGGUUUCCAUUACAAAGAUUUAUAAAGAAGCAAUUUUUGCAGCAAUCGCCUUUGACUUUUCCUAGCGGAAUUAAUGUGUUAAAUCAACUUUUCCAUGGCAAUAAGAAGAUCGAUAGAAGUUGAUAGUUGUAGUGUGUUUUUUCCCUCGAACUAUUGCAGUGUAGAUUGGGUUUACAGCCCUCCACUUAGAUCAAAAUAAAUAAAAAAAUAACUUGCAACAAAGCUAAUAUUAUUGACUAACUUUCAUCCAUUACAUUAAUGGAAAAAAAAAAAAAAAAAACAUAUCAUUUAUACUAGAUUUAUGAGGUUGGUGAAGAAGUAUGACAUUUUAUAUAUGAUCUAGCUAGUUUCAAAUUUAGGAUUUUGAUAUGUAAAAAGCGAGAAAUAAAUCUAUUGAUCAAGUAAGUUAAUCAUUCUUGUAUAUUUUCCAUUGCAAGAUUUACAACAACGUAAUACAUGUCCUUUUAUUUAGAUUUUAUAUAUCAAUUCGUCAGAUGAAAAAGAAAUUGUUAGAAUCUUGAAGAAAUUACAAACUUUAUUAGUAUUUAACCAAAUGAGCUAAAAUCAGAAUGCAACUUUAUAUGCAAUUUUUAAAUAUGUUCUAUAUAUACUGAAUUAAAUGAAAUCUUUUCAAAGCAAAACAAACUUUUCCUCUAUUUUAAUUAGUCAAACAUCAUACUACAAAAAAAAAAAAAAAAAAAUCAGACAGUUGAAGUUAUUAUAAGUAGUUAGCAAAGUUGACUAAUGAAAUUUUAUCUUAAACAGAAUGGUCUGAAAAAGACAUCAACACGAGUGGGAUUAUAGAAAAAAAAAAAAAAAACCAAUUUGAUAAUUUAUUUAGUUAUUUAAAAAUUUUAGUUUAUUAAUUUGGAAUGGGCAGGUAGGUUGCCUCCCAAGGCAGGGUCGAAUUAUGGUAGUGUUGAUGUCUUAAGGAUCAUGCUUCGCUAAAAGCCAAUCUCUCUCCCUCUUUCUCACCUCUAGCUAUCCAAAUAAAGCCAAAGUGGGUAUUAUUAUUAUUAUUACUGUUAUUUUUAAUUUAUUAUUAUAUAAAAACUAUAUUAUAAAGAGAAGAGAAUUAAAGAAAAAGAUAAAAAUGGUCAAACCGCAUCUAACAAAUAGAAAGGCAUGUGUGAUAUGCCACUAAGGUCCCAACAUACCCACAGUGGGCUUUUGAUUAUUUGAAUUUAGGACAUUUUAUAUAUAUAGUGCAUUGUAUUGUAUCCCUCUUUCUGACACAUUCUAUCAUUCUUUUUAUCAUUUCAUUCAUAUACCCAUCUACCUCUUUUCUUAGGAUAAGUUCCCAUGUUCUUUGUGGCAGGAUAAAAAAGCCUAUAAUAAGAACAUUCUUAGAAUUUUUUUUUUUUUUUUUACCCUUUUCAUUAUCUUUUUCUAUCUCCAUAAUUAAAGAUCAAUGCGCUUUUUUGUUAGCUAAUGGUUUUGAAUUAAUUGAAUGUUAGUUAUAUAUGACUUUCAGAGAAUUAAUUACUAAAUAUGUUAGAAUUAACUGAUUAAGGGACUAUAUAGUAUUUUUUUUUUAUAUAUAAUUAAUGAAUUAUUUAUUACUUUAAAAGACUAAGGGAGGUGAUACAAUAAUGCUAGGGAGGUGCGACUAUAAAUGCAAAUUGCCAAAUAGGUCAAAUGAGAUUUAAACAUAUUACAUAGGUUGAAAUGUGAAAAUAAUUUUUUUUUAAAAAAAAAAAAUUACAUGAUGCGAACAGAGACAAUAAAAUGGUUGGUUGGAUUAGACCUUGGCAGAAGUGCUCACUUUAUAGGGACAGGUGGAGAGGACUUACUCUCAUCUAUUUUUCUUUUGGUUUGAUUUGGACUUUUUAAGAGUUUCUUCCAAUUCCAUUAUUUCUGUCCCUUAUGCAAGGUGAGAUGAAUUUUAAUUUUUCAAAUCCGACAAAAUAAAUUUCGACAAAUCAAUCAUUCUACAUGGCUUUGCCUCUUCUCCGGGAUUUUUUUUUUUAAAGAAUAAAAUAAAAUAAUUGUUCUUAAAUUCUACCACAUCAAAUCACUAUUUUCAGAUUUCGAACUUUUCACCUUAUAAAGUAAAAUUCGCUGAGUUGAUCCAACCACUUAUUGAAAAAAUGAAAAAAAAAAUGCCCAUUUCAACGUCAAUAAUGCAAAAAAAAAAAAAAAAAAAAAAAAAAAUUGCAUGGGAUUUUGGGUUGGGUUGGGCUGAAGUUGAUUUAGUUGGGCCAUAACCUCAAUUGAUUGCAGGAAGAGUUUCCCGAUUAACAAUUAUUAUUAUUAUUAUAAUUUAUAUCAAUCCCUUGAUUUCCUAUAUUUAAAAGAUUUUUAUUUAGUUAGUAUCUACAUACAUAUAUAAAAAUAGCAGAUUCAAAUUUGUUGAAGCUAGAGCUAGCUAGACAGGGUUGAGUGAAGAAAGAUGGCCCUGUUCUACGAGUGAUCCAAUACAAUCAUCAAACAUUUUCUUUAUGGACUUGAACUCAAAUCCUAAGCUCUUCAAUUUUGAUGUGUUAAAAUCAUAAAAUGGUCUGUUUAGUUGCUCAAACCUGAAAAAAACCAAUAAAACAUCAACUGGCACUGUUAGUUACUGACAAGAGAAAUUUUGUUCUAUAAUCACUAUUAUUAUAAUUACCUUUUUGGGACGGGUAGAGAAGGAUAAUGAGCUGAUAAGAACGAAACUAGUUCAUCAUUAUCUAAAACUGAUGAGCUACAUAGGUAUCUUCCAACAGCACUUUGAUGUUCAUAAACAAGGAUAUGGCAAAGUGCCACAUCAUCUAUGUGAACAUACCCCAUCCUUCCAUGCCACUUGAAUUUCUCAGUUUCCCCUGUUUCAUCCAUUCAUGUUGUUUAGAAAUACCAAAUCAAGCCCGCUCUAACAAUACACUUUCCGUUGAGCCGUAACGUAAUAUAAUGUAUCAAACCUAUUUUUAAUGUAAUCUUUACACUAAAAAUGCAUUUAUUAUAUUACAUUAUAUUUCAUUACAGUUCAUUACAGUUCAUUAAAUGAAGGUUUGGUAUAAAUGAAUUCAAAAUUGAAAAUUUAUUUACUUUUAUAAAAAAAGGAGAAUUGAAUUUUAACUCUAUGAAUUUGAAUAUAACUAAAUCAAAUUGAAUUUAUAUCCACCUUUCUUGAAUGAAAUUUGGUUUAAUUGUAUUCAAAUCCACGGAAUCGAAUUCGUGGAAUCGAAUUCUUAAUAUCUUUUGAUACCAAACAUAAAAAUUUAGAUUUAUAACUGAAUUUCAGAAAAUCUCGUGAUAUUUAUUUGUACCAAACAAGGUUAAUAUCAUUUUAACUGCUGUUUAGCAUCGUUUUUAAAGAAUUUGAAGCACCUCGAAGCAGGCCAAGAACAUCAGAUGCAGUAGAACACAAUUGAGUUGGCAAACUAGGACCGAUCACGAAGGAAGGAAGAACAGUUAUCAAAUGAAUCCCAUUUUUGUUGCAGAAAUCCCAUGCAGCUCUUUCAGCUAGUGUUUUUGAUAAAGGAUACCAUAGCUUCAUAUUCAUUAACACGUUAGCCUUUUGUUGUUCUAAUACAAUGUAGUAUUAAUUAUAACUAUAAAUUAACAGCAAUUUUUUACCUGCAGUGUCUCGCAAAGUUCAACAGAGCUCCAAGACGACUCGUCAAAAGGUACUGUGGGCUCAAAAUCAUCUCUAACUCUUACAGUUGAUGACGAUGAGGUCAGAAUUACACGCUUUAGAGAUGGAUUUUUUGCGCAAGAAUUCAAUACAUUCAACGUGCCUUUUACAGCCGGUUCCAAGAUUUCUGCCUGCAACACCAAAAUUUUAAAAAGAAAAAGAAUUACAUUUGCAUAUUAAUUAGAAAGACAAAAAGUCUAAUUUGGUGUUUCUGCAACUUAAUAAGAAACACAUUUUGGACAAGUAAAAAGAAAGAAGACAAUGCCUUUGGAUCAGAGGAGGGUUUGAGCACAGGGGAGGCAGUGUGAAAUACACCAUGGCAGCCAAAUAUUGCAUCAUCAAAGCUGCCUAUUUCCAUUAAGUCAGCUUUCACUAAUUGAAGUCUCUCAGAAGCUCCUUCUAACUUCCACAAGUGAGCUAAUUGCUUCUCAUUUCCUAUUAACAAACAUACAAAAUAUAAUAAUGACUUUUUUCUUAAAUAAUUACAAUUAAUUAGAUCGUUUUUAGUAAAAGCAAGAGAGACAAACCUGGAUCUCUUACUGUUCCAAUGACUUGGUAUCCUGAUAAUAGCAGUCGCUUGAUAAGCCAAGAAGCCAAAAACCCAGAAGCACCUGUUACACAAACUUUGCCUUCUACUUGAUCCAUGUAUAAGUUCUUGGUUCAAACUAAUUAAUAGUGUAAUUGCAUCCAAAUGGUUGAUCGAAUAUAUAAGAUUGGAUUAUCUUAGUAGGUGGCAAGUAGGAUUGUGGAUUAAUAAGAAGGUAGGUCAUGCUAUGCAUGCAUGAAAAGCAAUUACACUCUUCUUUUCAUGUUAUUUAGUAUUAGGUAAAGCUAUAAAUAUAUCAUUGAUGUAAUGGACCCGUUCAGGCUUUUCUGAUUUGGGCCUCAACUGGUCCAUAUCUUUUGUGCAAAAGCUUUCAGCUUCAAAACACAGUCCAAAUUGAUUUGGGCCUCUCGAUCACGAGAUGAAUGGCUGGGUGGUCCAACUGAUCCAUAUCCUAAGUAGUAACAAUGUCCUCUUACUAUUUGAUCAUUUUUAGGAUCCAUUGUGAAGCUAAUAUAGUGUCAAAUAUUCUCUCUAAUGAAGUUCUUGAAAGUUGGGUUGGGGUUUGGUGAAGCUGGAGCAUCCUUCUUCUCAAGUUUAGCUAAUAGGGUAUAGGCUUUCUAGCCUAGGUAAGUGUCUACCUUACCCCGAUUUAUUUAGGGUUGUCAAAACAAAUUUGUGUAAGUAUCGAAUUAAUUUAAUACAGUAAAAUGAUUAUAGUGAAUAUUUACUGACAUAUUUAUUAACCGCAUCAAAAAUUUAAACUCUAACACAACACAUGUAAUAUAUGUUGUAACACAUGUGAUAUGUUUAAUUAAGUAGAUUGCACGUGGAUUAUAAAAUCCAACGUAAUGCUCGUAACUUACCUAUAAUAAGUAGCUCAAAUUCAACACUAACGUGUUUAAUUAAAUAUAAAUUACAAAUAGAUUUACGAGUCAACUCAUUACAUGAAUAUACUAAGACUCAAUCCCCUCGUAUUAAUUUUAGAUGUUCGGUGAAUUCAUACGUACAUACGUCACAGUCCAAUUUGAUAGACCUAAAUUUUUUUUCUCUCAUUAUCAAAAAAUAAUAUAAAAUAUACCUAAUCAAAUAAAAUGAAGCAUGGAAAGAUACCCAAUCUUAUUUUAUUUCACAGCAAGUGUAAUUCUGAUUUCUCCGGUCCAUAAGCAGCGCAAGUGUGUCUUUAACCCAUGUGUUUGGCCAUUGUUCGUCAAAUCCAGUUACGUACGUAGAGCAAACCCACAGAUAUUUAUUCCUAAGAUAAAGAUUAAUGAAAGUCAACAAAUGGGAAACCUCUUUGGUCUCUGUCGGAACCAAAAAAAAUAUUGAAAGGACAUAUGAAUGAAUAUAUCCAUUCAUAUAGGAUAAGUCAUGGAAUUACACAUUGGAAUGGUCACGUAAAUUUUAUGUACACUCACAUUUCCACUUCCUUGUAAAUUCCCAUUUGUGUUUGACUGUGACCUAAUUCAUCCUUUUAUUUAUGCUAUUAAAGGAUGACAAUUUCCUAAUAAAAUACUAAUAUUUGAAAGAAAGAUUUAAAUUAUGAUUAUCGUCUAAGAUUGACCCUUGAUUUAUCCGUAAUGAGCUGCUUCUUGGAAACUCACCAGUUGAAACUGCACUUGUGUGAACAAUUCUUUUUUUUUUUUUUUAUUAAAUAACAAUAUUUAAACGUGCUCCUUCAAUUGUUUUGUGCGUGAUGGUUUUUUACUCUUCUUCUUUGAUUAUUCAAUUCUAACCCAAAAGGUCAAAAUUAAAUUUCUCAGCAUAAAUAAAUAAAUAAAUAAAUAUAUAUAUAUAUAUAUGUAUAAUAUAAUAUCCAAGUAAAGAGUGACUGAGGGAGUUCCUACUUCCUACUCCUAUAUUCCAUGAUUUGUGGAUCAAAUCCACUUGAUAUGGGUCCCGCUUAUGCAAUUAUAAUAAUCACCGUUGGAGGCCCAACAUGGCAAUAUGCCCCAGUGGAGAAAGAAAACAAAAACCAAACAAUAAUUCUGGAGAAUUUAUAUAUUAUGCCAAAAUUCAUUAGUUGGUACUUAUAUUUUUUGUUAUUUAAUCCUUAAUAUUUUCUAACGUCAAAUGUUGAGUCCUUCUGUCUAUUUUUUUCUUUACUUCUGAAUUAAAAAAAGCAUUGUGAAAAGAUGAAGAUACUUUUAUGUACCCAUAAGUUCAGUUAAAUAUAAAUUGGUGGACAAUUUAUUUUUUGUAUUCGGUUGACACCGCAAUUGUUCUAAAUUCAUUGGACUAAGUUUAAUUCUACUCGCAUUACGGAUCAACAAGAGCAUAUGCUCACAGCAGUUACAAGACAAACUAAUAAAUUUUAGGAUAAUGUAGAAAUGUUAUAAUAAUAUUUUUCAAUAAUUUUUUAAUCCAGUCAAAAUAACACCCUUUAAUCAAGUUUAAAAGGUAUGCAAGUAAGAUUUUUCGAUAAUACUGAUUGUUGGAUUUAAACUUCUGAAUAUACAAAUAAAAUACAUUUGAGAAAGCACUUCAUUCAACUGUAAUUUUUUUUUAUCCUACUUAUCGAUAAUCAUUACCAACUACAGUAAUUACAAGCAGUUAAAUCCUAAUAAUUUAAAGUUUAUAUAAUCGCUUAAUCUAGUAAAUACAAUAUGAAACAACCAAAUUAUCUCUUUUUUCAAAAAAAAUUUCCUUUAGGAGAAAAUUUUCAAAAUCAGUAGAGGCAGGAUCUUGAAAGGUCGAAUCAAACAUGGCUGCAAGUGGGUCAGCCCACUUAGAGUAGAAAAUAUAAAAUCUUUAGGAGCUUUCAAACGAAGCAAAAACAAGGCUGCAGAUAUGGAAAUUGACUGUUAUACAGCCAUGGACCGUAUUUGGUGCACUUGCAAUUUGCAGCAAAUUGCAUGUUUCGGUGGCUACUAAUAUAUUAUUUUUUAACGUCUACUUGCAAAGUUUGGACCGUCCGCUUCCCAUUAGACCCAAUUUGACUGAACACGGUCGCACCGUCGGCUUCACCUUGUGGUUCUAUGAAUCUGAACUCACGUGGUCUUAUCCAUUAACCGACAAAUUAGGAUCGCACUGUUUUUAUCCUCCCUUUGCUCAUCAAAAUUUGACAGUUUGGCGGCGAUUCAGAUUUUUUUCUGUUCAAAAUUCUUUUUUUUUUCCCCUUCCACUCAAAGCUAUUUUAAUGGAGUCAAAUGUCUAACAGUUGUUUUUUGAAAGUAGAUAUUAAUAGUUGUUCAAACUAUUAAACUUUAUUAUUAUAUGGUUGAAGUAAACUAAUAAAGCGGCUCAAGAAAAAAAUCUAGCCCAUUACAGUUAUUUAUUUAAUAAAAAAAUACUUGCUUAUUGUCAUUGUACAUCAACUGUAACAAUAAUCAACAGGGUUAAUUUACAUGCAAAGGACUUAAGUCCCUUAAAUAGAGAUAAAUAUUUAAUGGGUAAUUUGAAUAACAUUUUUAACCGAAAUAAAAUAAAUUAAUUUUUUAAUCGAAUUUAAUCAAAUCGUUUUGACCAAAUUAAUUUUGACUAUAAGUUAAAGAAAAUGAAAAUUUAAUUAACUGACUGAAUUUAAUAAAAAUUUAUGAUUAACUGACUUUAAUCGAAAUAAAAACUAACUAAAAUUAUUAAUCACUAGUUAAUCCAAAUAAAAUUAAUAUUUUUUAAUUUUUAAUUUUAUUAUCUAAUUAAUCAAAACGAUAUAGUUUUGAAAGUCGAUUAAUUUGAUUAAUUCGGUUAAAUUAACUUUGCACCGAUCACCGAAAAUCUAAUUUUUUUUAAUCAAACAUUUAUUCAUCGAAUUGAAUUGCUCAAAUUAGCUGAACCAAAUGCUCAACCUACCCUUAAAUAAGAGACCAAAUGUUUGAUCAUUGUAAAUAAAGGCAACCCAUUGCAAGUCUUUUCUCCUUAUGAAUUGGGAUACAAUAAAAUUUUAAAUUCGAAUAAAUUCAGAGUGGAGCGCUUAAAAUACUAAAGAAACUCUCUUUGAUCAUACUUAGUUUUGAAUUGUAUUAUAUCAAAUCCGAUAGAAUCAAAGUAUUUCGCCAUCUUUAAAUUUUCAAUUGACAUGCAUUUAAAAAAUUUUGGCAUUGUCUUUAUCUAAUAAACAAAAAUACUAAUCAUAUCUCCUCAACUUGAUGUACUAUUUGAUAUGCACAACAUCUCCUUCGAUUAAGGAAAAAACAAAUACUAUCAUGAGACUGCAGAGAAAAUCAUUUUAUGUAGAAUUUUUGUUAAUAAUGGUACUAUCACACCUGUGAAAGAAAUGUGUUGAAAGCUCCCAUGUCAAGUAAAUAGAAAGCAUCCUAACUAAGAAUUUAGAAAAUCCAAGAAACGUGACCCAUGAAAGGAAAAAGGGAUGCCAUUAGAUUCAGCAAAGAACACCCACCUAAUAAGUUAAGUAACACUCUAAAACAACACUAUCACACAAAGGAAUUGCCAAAUCCCAAGGAAAGUGAAAGCCCCAAUUCUCACCAUAUAAAAAAUCCCAUUUCUACUUGCAUCUCUCUCUGGUCCCACAAUAUUAUGUACUGUGUUGUGUUCACUUGACGUGAUGCGAGACUUGCAGCUUCAACUUGCUCUCUGCCCCUUUAUUGUUACCUUUUACUACCACCUAAAGAUAGUUAGGAAGGCACGUGACUCCAGCUUUGGAAUUUGGACUAUAACCACCCAUUAUAACUUCCGCCCACCAUUUUAUAUUCUCAUUUUAAUCCAAUUUAGUAUUGAAAAAAUCAAUACGUAUGUAUUUUCUUUAUGUUUAAGCAAGAGUAAAAUAAUAUGGUUGGGACCCAAAAGCGGUAGCAACUGGGCAACCAUGACAUGAGCAUUACAUUAGAUAUAAAAUUGAUAAAAAUGGAUUACCAUUACUACAACUUUUAUAUAUUCUUACGGAGAACGUGCCAACAUGUGAUGGCUAAGGUUGGCAGGCGGACCAUGAACAUGAACAUGAACAUGGUAUAUAAUAUACUGAUAAACCAAAUUUCAUGCACAAGUUGGCCAAUGUCAUGUCUUAAAUUUAGAAACUUGGAAUUUGUUAUCUUUUUCGCUGGAAAAGAGGGUUAUUUGAAUCUUACCAAAUUUCUGUAAUUUCUUGAUGGCUGUUAAAGACAUUAAUACAUGCUUUUUUUAGCUACGUCUAGGUGCAAGAUUUUCUUGGGAGUUUGGACCUUCCUUCUUCUUUUCUGACCUUCCUUCUUCUUUUCUUUAUUUUUUCAAAUUUUCCCAUCAAAAUGAAAUCUGAAAAUUACUAUAAAUUAUUUAAUGGAAGUUUCUCCAAUGGAGACAAAAGAAGAAAAGAUGAUUGGUAUAGAAUAGGAAGUAUCUUAGCAGAGGACCCAGUGUAUACGUGGAGAAGAGUGGUUGGUUGGAUAUGAAGCAAUGGAAGUUUCCUCUCUAUUACUAUUUCUUUCUAGCUAUGUUGAAGGAAAACAAUUCCUAUAUAUAAAAAGAAAGAAAAAAGGAAAUUCAUAAUAGUUCUACCACAUUGUGUGUGGAUAUAUAUAAACAAAUAAAUAGAGAGUGAGCUGUGAACAACUAUGAAAGAAAUGAGGAAUAGCAUAUGUUUUAUGUAAGUAGAAACUUCUUGGCUAAUGGAUAGGAUCAAAAGAAUAAGAUUUCUUUUGAUCUGAAAAGAUAUUUGUAUGACCUGUUCUUACCAUGUAAUCAACCACUCCUUGCAAAAACAACUUGUUCUUGCUGCUUCUUACUCCAUAACUAUGAAUUCCCAAUUAUUUCAAUUCGCAAGAUUCCAGAUAGUGUUUGAAUUAAUCUAUAAUUUUCAUAAUUAUUUAUAUAAUACCCACUAAAAUACGUGUAUUUACAUACAUAAAUUGAAUGUAUAGGCUAAUUAAUUUUGGGAAUAAUACCCGAAUUUGAUGGGGGAAAAAAUGUUGAAAAUGAUAUUGCAUUGCCAACUUCACAUUAAACACGCGUUUGGUGUUUGCGUCCAAAGACAGCUACAACAUGUAUAUAUAUAAGAAACACUCAGAUUCUAGACAUGAGUUAGGAAAGAAUAGUUAAUUAAUCAUUCAUAUCUUUUUUCUGCUACUUCAAGUCACAAUUAAAAAAAUGCUUACCACCCUACAAAUACACGUUGUUAGAAUAGUGUAUGUCAAGGUUAAAAAAUUGCUAUUUGCUAUUUUGGAUCAAAUUCAUUAUUUACAUAUUUUUCACAUUUCAGAUUUUUGUUUUAAAAAUUGUAUAUUCCAAGUUGUUCAAUUCUUCAAAUAAUUGAACAACUUACAUCUACUCUCUAAUUGUCUGCCGACAAGUCAAGAAAUCAUCAUAAAUUUUUUAAGAAAUCUCAACAGUUUUGUUAUGAUUAUUUAAUUUACAUGUUCACAUUUUAAACAUAUUUAUGUUUGUUAUUUGUAACAUUAUAAUUUAUGUUCAUGUAAUAAAAAUUGUGCCUCUGUUUUAAUAUUAUUAUCACUUGUAUUUUCUUUUUCACCAAAUGCUGCUAAUAUAAUAUAAAUGACAUCUAUUUACACGCGGACCACGUGGGUAUUUUGAAAUUAAUGUAAAAGUGAUAAUUUUACGUUUUAAAUGCUUGAUUUAGUAGAUAAAGUUUGACUAAAGAUAUAGUCUAGUGUCAAUAAUUCGAUUAUUUUAUAUAUCAUUUUAUUUCUAUCGCGUGUUAAUACUCAAUUAUUACAUAUAUUAUAAAAAUUAUAUAAAAUUCACAAAAUAAAAUAAAAAAAAUCAACUUCAAAAUCUUUUGCCACAAAACCGAAUCCACCUUAAUGUUAAUAUUCUAAUUAAUGUUGGGCAAUUCAAGAGAAUCUAAUUUUUUUCUUAUUGCCAAAGGAUGAUUUAAGAAAGAAAAUUACAAAAUCUUAUAAUUAAGGAAAAACAUAAUCCCUAUUCCUAACCGUGUAUCGUAUAGCCAAGCCAAGCAAACUGUAAACGUGUGUGUACAAACCAACACGCGUAGGCGUAGAUCAACGGUAAGAAUCCACCGAAUCGAAAGAAAGGAUCAACCAUAUCCACAUACUCUAUCACGGACACGUUUUUAAACAGCGCCUACCCGUUUUCUUUUUUCCAUAUUUUAAUUUCUUAAAUUGAAAAUUAGGAAAAAAAUUCACAAAUAUACAAAAUUUUUGAGUGCCGAAAAUAAAUUCCUUGCCUAUCACGUGCAUUAAAUGUAUACCGACAUUUAAUAUUCAAAGAACUGCCAGAAAAUCCUCUCUAUAUAUAAAUUGGGUUUGCUUGUGGGUUUUACCACUAGUUCGUUGUGACUUGCUACCUCUGUUCUCUCUUCCUUUGCCUCAAAGAAAGGGAAAAAACAAAUUCUACAAAUUUCACUCAAAAACCCAUCGAGAAAGAAACCAGUUCUUGCUCCAAUGGAUUGGAUUCGAGGUGAGUCGCUUGGUUGUGGUAGUUUUUCUUCUGUCAAUUUAGCCAUACCCAGAAAAAACUCCGCUCCAUUAAUGGCUGUGAAAUCUUGCGAUCUUUUUGACUCUGUUUUGCUCGAGAAUGAGAAGGAAGUGUUAUUGCAUCUUGGGAAGUGCGAGAAUGUGAUUCAGUGUCUUGGGAGUGAUCAAAGUGUUGAAAACGGUGAAAAGUUUUAUAAUUUGCUGUUAGAGUAUGCUUCUGGCGGCAGUUUAGCUAAACUUGUAAAGAAUUCCGGCGGUUGUUUACCGGAAUCGGAGAUUAAACGUUUCACAAGAUCGAUACUAAAGGGUCUUCGUGAUAUUCACGCAAAAGGGUUUGUUCACUGCGACAUAAAGCUUCAGAAUUUAUUGUUGUUUGAUAAUGGUGAAGUGAAAAUUGCGGAUUUUGGAUUAGCCACAAAAACAGGGGAAAAAUCGGGGAGAAUGGAAAUUCGAGGAACUCCUCUGUAUAUGUCGCCGGAAUCAGUCAACGAGAAUGAGUAUAAUUCACCAUGUGAUAUUUGGGCUCUUGGGUGUGCUUUGGUUGAGAUGGCGACGGGAAAACCGGCGUGGAAUUGCAAGAAAGAAACCAACGUAGCAGCUUUGUUGAUUCGAAUUGGAUUAGGAGAUGAAUUGCCAGAAAUUCCUCAAGAAUUGUCUAAAGAAGGAAAAGAUUUUCUAUCGAAGUGUUUUAUUAGAGAUCCUAAGUCAAGAUGGACGGCUGAGAUGUUAUUAGAUCAUUCUUUUGUUGCUGAUGACAUUAACAACUGUACUGUUACAUUGAAGAACAGAGAAGAAGAAGAAGAAUCACCGAGAUGUCCUUUUGAAUUUCCAGAAUGGAAUUCAUUUCCAUCUUCUACACCAAAAUCUGAAUUAUGGUCUCAUGGAGAAGCAGAAUCAAGAAUUGAUUGGUCUAAUUUGACCUGUUCAUCUUCGCUGGCGGAUAGAAUCCGGCAACUACAGAGUGAUCAGUGUUGCAAUUGGUCCUUCUCUGAAAGUUGGGUCACUGUUAGGUGAUAAAACAGAGCAGCAGUAAUUUCAGGACAUUUUUUUAAUUCAAUUAUUCAGAUUCCAUUUUUUGUAAUGGGUGAUGAUUUUUUGGAAUUGUAAAUGACUAGGAAACAAUUAGAGGGUAACAAAAUAUCUAGCAGACUAACUUUAGAUGAUUGUACAGUGGAAGAGUGUAUAGAACAUUUUUUAACAGAGUAAAAUAAUUUUCUUUUCCAAGAAAGGUCAUACUUGCAGAAAUCUUUUCUUCUUUUAAUGAAAUUGCUUAAUUUUUCAUUUUUUUUUUUUUUUACAGGCAUAGAACAGAGUGCAUGGUGGUAUGUUGGAUAUUUAUGAUUAUGUAUAAAUUAAGGCAUUAAACCCUACAAAAAGUCUCUCCCCUGUUUUUAUGGUUAUAUAUGUGUUCCUAAGAGUAAACUCUAUUGAUUGGAUUAUUUACUAUAAUUAGAAGAAAGUUUUUCUUAGUAUAAUUAAUAACAGCAUGCUUGAAUGAGAAAUUGGUUUGUGAUUUUUUUAAUUAAUUGCAAGGACCAACUUGGAGGAUCUGAAAAGUAGGGAAACAUCCUUGAAAUAUUCUCUGGAUUCCUUGCCAUAACUUCUUCAACAGUCAUUCUUGAUAAGUUUGGUGCAAUUGCUACCUAAAAAGAUAAUACUACAAUCCAAGCAGAUCCUUUUACAAUUAUAAUUUUUGAAAUACAUUAUAAAUUUUAUCAGGAAGCCAAAACUCAUUUAAGGGCAACUCAGCGUAAUAAAAACAGAGAGAUCCAAAUUGAUUGAAAAUGUAAAAAAGAUAAUUGCCUUCUCUUUGGAGAGUAAAAUCACCGUUAAUUGCUUGAAGCAUGUUGUCGUCAUUAACUAAUAAUUAACAAUGAUGGUACCAAAUAUCUUUCAUGAGGAUGAUCACACUUAGCGGAUGCUAUCAAUUUCGAUUUUCUUUCAUCACCUUAUUUAUGGAUUUGAUAUCUUUCAUCAUUUCCUUUUUCUUUUCUACAUAAACUAUCAGAAGAAUAAUUAGACUUAUGGUGUUAAUUGAUUUAAAUAUAUUAUAUUAAAUUUAUUUUUCCAAUCUAAUUAAGAUAAACCAGUAAUUACACAUUUUCUGCACUAUUUUGAAAUAUUAAAACUUAUGGUUCAUAUUUCUUGCUAACAGUUUUUAUAAUAGUGAGAAUACAAGUUUGAUUUUCGAUGAGCUUACUUAUUCUGAGAACAAAAAAAUCACUAAGUUAUAAAUUUUUUAACCAAUAUGAUUGUUAUUGGGAAGCAUGCCAUUAUCAAUCAAUAGACAAGCUAAAUAAUUAGGAUUAGUGUUAGGUUAAGGAUAUGAAUUGUGUAAUAAAAUAUUAGAGACAUGAGCUUCUCAUGUGAUAUUUAUAUAAAACACCAAUAUCAAUAUUGCUUUAAAAUCAUGUGAUUUAUGGGUUGGUGGAAAAGGUUUACAAUGCACCCAACUUCACAUGAUCCGGGUCCAUCCAAUGCAUCAUCCUUGUUUAACCAUUAAGAGUAAUUUUCACUUUGAAAAUUUUGCAACCCUAUUAUUUUGAAGUUUGGUUAUAUUGCUUUUACUUGGAAGUUUGUUUGGAUCCUUUUCUAGUCAUCUCAUAGGUCAUUUGAUACCAAAAUUUCCUCAUUUUAGCAUGUGGGGAAUAUACCCAAUUUUGUUUGACACCUUUGAUUGAAUGUAUGCAAUGUAUAUAUAUACAUGCCUAAUUCCAAGUUAGAUGUGAAAUAUAAAUAUAAAUUGUAUUGUUUCUUGCAUCAUAAAUAUCAUGUGAUAAGGAGAAAUAAAUAUUUUAAAUUUAUAAACACAUGCAUUGUAUUUGAAUUUCUGACCACAUAUAACUAUUACAUUUAAUUAGGACCAUAUUUGAAAUGUGCUUAAAUAAAUAUCCUUGCAUUAACUCGUAGUAGGUGCAAGUGAAUUGUUUCUCAUAUUAGCAUCAAACAUCAUUGUUUUCUAACUAAAACAAGUCUAAUUAAUGUGUGUAUAAUCUUGUUAGAAAAAUUUGAUAUUAAUUUGAGAAUUACAAUUUUAGCCCUUAAAAUUAGCAUAAAACUCAAUUUCAUGUUAAGUCUUACAAUAUUUAUCAAGUUUUAUUUAGACAUUUACCAUCGGAUAAAAUUCACUAACUCGGAUUUUAGAACAAACCCACAAAUAAAAAAAAAAAAAAACAUUGAGAUAAAAUCACUUGAAUAUGUAAUAAACUAAAGUCAUGUGGGCUCAAGGCUAAGGCUCCGUUUGUUUCAGUAAAAUAACUUACAGAAAAAUGUUUUCUACAAUUUUCCAUUAUUUGGUGCGCUCAAAAAAAUAAGUCAACAGAAAAUAUUUUUCUGAUUAAAGAAAAAUUAAGUCAUUUUUUUAAGGAAAACAACUUCUCAUUUUUUAGAGAGUAAAACAUUUUUUAGAUAUUGACAAACCGUAUAAAUCCAUAUUUUUUAAUUUAUUAAUCAUCAUAGUCACUACUACCGGUCAUCAUUUCCCACCGACCACCACAGGCCACCGACGGCUUUCAUAAUUUAUAUAUUUUUUUUGCAUUAUUUUCAUAUUUAAUAAUAAAAAUUUUAAAUUAUAAAAUUUCUAUUAUUAUUAAUAUUUUUUAUGGUCUUACGAGAUAAAACUUUAAUAUUUUUUAACUAAUUUUCAAUAUUACAACUAAACAACAGAAAAUAAGUCAUUUGAAAAAUAUUUUUCAUAAAAAUAUUUUUCAGCAAAUUGUUUUAUGAAAACAAACAGAAUCUAAAUAUAACAAAGAUUGAAAGAGCGUCCGCUUUAAUGCUAUGUAGAAUAUUGAAAUGUAACAAUAUUGAAAACAACUGAAUACAUACGAAUAUCAGUAUGCUCCCAUACUAUGUUAGAAAGGUUAAAUAUAAAUUUGAAACAUUUACAUCUCAUAAUUAAUUCGUUGGAAAACAUAAUUUUUUUAAAAAAAAUUUAUACUAAUAUAUAUUUAAUUUAUGUAAGAUUGUAUCCCACACCAUAUAUCUUAACAAAUCUCAUGACAAUAGCACAUCGUACCAACUAAUGAAAUUUGAUUUAAUAAUACUCAAAUAGUACUUUCAACUAUAUGGUUAAGACUUCAAAUCUUAAAACCAAAUCUACCCUAAUCAAAAGUUUAGUGCUAUGGUUGCAUAAAACUAAAACAAUCAAAAUAAUCUUAAACUAUUACAAGCAAUCGAGCAAAGGAUUUUAAUUAAACCCACCGACGAAUCCAAAAUCUAGAUUUGAUGCAUGAUUUCAAUUUUUCAUGGGGUCCAAGUCCUGCCCAUAAGCCAGAUAUGCUUCUCCAAGAGGUUCCCUUCUCCCUUCACCCCACAAGAUCUUUUGUCUCCUUUUGUUAGCACUUACAUAAUUUUUUUUUUUUGAAAAUGUCAUAAUUGAAUUUUUAUAUAUAUGUAUAUAUAUAUUUCUUAAGAAAAAAAAAAAAAAAGAACACAUCCCUUUUGUUUCCUUCUCAUUAAAUAAAUAAUUACUUUUAAAUAAUUGGCGUUUACUGAUAAUUGCACUUGUUCUUAAGUGAAAUUGGGACAUUCAUUUUUUUAGGGUCUAUGACCACCAAGCAUUCAACCCUCUUAUGGAAUUUGGGUUUAACCAACUUACCUAAAACAUAAGCUCUUGAUCGAACCGUGAAAUUGAGUGUCAAUGGUACUGGUUGAGUUGGUGCACCAUUCAAACUUCCCAGGUUAGCUCCCCCACCAUAUAACGGGAUUUUAUUCCCCUUUACCAUCACUGUUACUGAUCUUUGACUCUUUCUUGAUUGAUAGAAUUUUCUCAUCUGCCAAACACAGUUUUACAAAUUUCACUUCUAAAUUCCAAUAAAAUAAAAGAAAUAUCAACAUAUUACUUGAAUUAUCAAAUUAUCAAAUCCUUUCUUUAUUUUGUUUUUAUUUUUCACCACACUCUUAUCUUUCUAAAUUUGGUAAUUAAGGCUCUUUAUUAUCUUUCUGAAUUUAUAAAUUAAGUCUCUUUAUUAUUUUUCCAAUUUAUUUUAGUUCUUGAAAGCUAAUUUAUACUCUCUCUUUGUCCUAGUUUUUCUUUUUUCAUCCAUUCUAAAUUGUUGUCAAUUUUUUAAAAAAUAAAUAAUAUUUUGAUGUUUAUUAUUUUUCCUUUAUUUAAUAUGCUUAUUUAUCAACAAAUAUAAUAUUCAAAGUACUAUAUUAUCAUUAUUUUUAAUUAUCUUUCAAGAAAACUUUAUUUAAUCAAAUAUUUGAUAAUGAUUUAAUUAAUUUUAAGAACCAUUCAAUAUUAAUGGAUAUUAACAUAAGGGUAUAUUAGAGAAAAAAUAAGGCAAAAAUUAUAGUUUAACUAUAUUAACUAAAAUUCCUUAAUAUGUAUAAAGGUCAAACCGAGACAAAAAUUAUGGGGCGGAGAAUGAGUCUUUAACCUGCUAUAAAUUUCUUCAUUAUUUCUUAUUAGUAAUUAAUUUAAAAUUCAUGAAUUUUUUUUUUCUUUUGUUAUUAUAUUUGUAUUUUAAAAAUUUUCUAAAUUCUCAAUAAUUUUUUUUUCUCGAUAAAAGUGCUCAUAGCACCAAUACUAUGAGCGAAACCGGAUCAAAAUUAGCCAGAACUAAAAUCUGUCACGAGUUGGUUAAAGUCCCUUUUAUGAGGAAUUUCAACCUUGGUUUCGCUAAACUGCCCAUAUGCCCGUAUUGAUAUUAUCACUAUUUCUUCCUUUUUUUUUUUCGUUUUUGAAACAACCAUUAUUUCUAAUUUGUUAUCUACAUAAUAUUCCAGUUUGUGUGUUGCUAGGCUUCAUGGGCCCAAAGCCCAUGUGAAGCCUAAAAGCAUUUAAAGGGUGCUCAUCUUCUUUUUAAAUUUCUAAUAAAUACUAAAUAAACUGUCUAUAUAAAUAAGAUUAAAUAUAAUAAAAAAUAUUUUUAUUAAACUUAAUUUUAUAUAAACAAAUUUUUUUUUUUUUUUUGACAUAGACACAAACUUGCAGGGAACUUAAAGUUAUUAGUAAAAUCAAUUCAGUUUGAUUCUUAUAAAAUCAAAAUAACUGAAUUUUUUUUAGUUAGAUUAACCAUAUUGAAUUUUAACAAGAACUAAAUCGAAUUGAAAUGAAAUUCUACUAAAAAGUCAAACUGAAAUAAUUAAAAUUUCUAUUACAAACAUAUAACAUAUGUAUGUAUAUAUAAAUGUAUUUAAAAUAGUUUUUACAUUAAAUUUAUAUAAAAAUAUAUCUAAUUCAGUUGAUUAUUUUUUAUAAAAAUAAAUCAAACUAAAAUAGUCCAAUUUAACAAAAACUGAAAAUUAUAUAAUUUUUUUAAAAAUUUUUUGAAUACUGAAGAAAAUUUAAACCUAAUAACACCAAUUUCUCAUUUGUCCUGUAAUGCAAAUAAAUAAAUAAGAAUACAGAAUUGCUUACAGUUCCAGUAGCUAAAGUGAGUUGAGAAUAAGAUAGAUCCAAAGGUGUUGCAGUUACAUGAACUCCAAAAAACGUUGCCGUAUUACGAAAUGUAAGCUUCACGGAGCAGUUCAUAGACACCAUUUCUGUUGCCACUCCUGAGAAAUCCGCACCCGCUUGUACUAUAAAUUGAUCAAAAACAAUAGUCUGCAACCAAACAACCCAUAACCAAAUUUAAUUAGUAUUUUCGUUCAUAAUUCCAUUUAGAGUUAAUUAAAUUAUUAAUUACCUUCAUGGUGACGGUGGGUUUUUGAGGACGACUUGCACCCCAAAUAAUUAACGAAAACAAAGAGAAAAGUAUAAAAAAUCCCAAAACAAAAGCGAGAAAAUAACAACGACGACGCAUUCCAUGUGGACCAAUAUCUCCAUCGAGAAGACCUUCUUCUUCAAUGGCGUCAAACGCCUUCCAUGGCUUCCGGCUGACUUUCCGUUCGCUGGUUUUGCGGUGGGGUUUGAGAGACCCAGAGAAUCGUGUAGAAGAAGAUUCGCGAGAGUGUGGCCCCAAAGAAGAGUUGGAAUGGGAAUGUGGAGGGGAGCCGGCCGGACUGAGCACAGGAGUAGAGUGGAAUGAGUUUGUCGUUUUCUCGCCGUCAUGAGAGUCUCUAGAUGGGCUUUGCACGUAGUAUACAGGGCGGCGAGGCGUUGAUGAUGAUCUUGUCGGAGAUGAGUGAGUUAAGCUGCUUACUUCUGAGUCAGUCUUGGAGAGAUGCGUUGACAUUGUCGUUUUGAUGAGUCGUUAAUGUAAUAAAAAUGGUAAUAAACAGAGUUUCAGGAGAUGGGGAAGUGAAGAGGAAGAGUGAGUGAGAGCGUUUGUAGGAUCUCUAGAAACGUAGGUUAUGGAGGAGCACGUUGUUAUAUGUUUUGUUUAAUGAAAUCGAAGUGUUGAUUAUGAACGCAAUUAAUAGAGGGGAUGGUGGACUUUGCAGUAACUAGCUGGAAUUGUCUACUUGAUGUUUUUUAUUGAAUAAUUUUUCAGUUCAGCUCUUAUUUAUAAACUAGAAUUUAUGGCACACUCACUAUAUUUAUUUAUGUUAGUAAAAAAAAAAAUCCAUAAUUUGCUAUUUGGAAUAAAUGGAUUUCAUAAAGUUUUAUGAAAUUUAUUUAUAAAUCUAAAUUUUUUUGUUUGGAAUGAAAAACAAUAAAGAAUUCAAUUUUAGGAAUUUAAUUAUGUUGUGUAUUUGAAUAUAUCUAAAUCAAAUUCUAUCAAAGAAAGUAAAAUUUCCAAAUGAAUUCCAUAAACUUAAAUAAUCUAAAACUUCAUGACAAAAUUAUUCAUGACCUUUUUAAAGUUAUUGUGCUAAGGAUAUUUUUGAAAAUCAAAUAAAUUUUAAAUAUUAAAUUUAUUCCAAAUAUAAAAAAUUUAUUUAUAAAUGAAUUCAUCUACAAUUUAUAAAUUCUAUAUUUUGAAUACAUUUAUUAUUAAAUGGAUGGUAACCGUUAGUCUCAAGUUUAAUAUCUUUUUAUAUUUUAAUUACAAAUUAUAUUUGUAAUUAUAAUAUCUGAUUUCAAACAAUUGGUCUUGGUUAAGUAUGGGUUUUUUAUUUUUUUAUUUUUUUUCCAAUCCAUUUUAUCACAAAAAUUUGCAUUUACCAUUAAUUGAAGAUUUGGGAAACAAAGAAAAAAAAGGGAAGAACCUUUUAAUUAAUGCAUGUGGAGCAUGCAGAUCCAACGCCCUGGUGAAGCAAAGAGAAAAAAGAAAAUCCAUCUCAUGAUUUCCGAGACCCAUCCCAUUUAAAAGAAAAGACAAGAAAAAUACAAGAUCUAACACGCUGAAUCUCAAUCAAAUUGUGGGCAUGGACUACGUACUUGCGGACCCUUUCCCCUUAUUUUAUUCAUUAUCACUAUACUUUUGUUUUCAUUCACUUGCCUCUGAGUAACAAGUGGUAAGGAUGAUGUUCUAAAACGGUUUGGUCUCUGAUCGGAUCCAUGGAACCGUUUCACCUCUUCAAAGAGGUAAAAUGGAAAUGAAAAUGGAGAAAGGGAAUCAGCUGAACAGAUGCACUUUCAUUAGCGUUUUUUUAGGUAAUUUUUUGGAAAUUUUCCCUUAGGUUAUGGCCUGACCAUUCACUGCCAAUUUUUGUCAAAGGUCCGGAAUAAUCCGAUAGGCGAAAUUUAGAGUUUGAGACAGCCUGUGAUCCUGCUAGGUUCCAAAAUUUGCACUCAAGGAUUCAAAAUAUAUAAUAGUUGUUGGCAUGGGCGAUCGGAUUCAAGAUUACGUCUGGACAUGACAUCGAUCAGUACCGCAUUUAGAUUUCCACGUUUUGCAAAUCUUGCUUGAACCAAAUCCUUGUACUAUGUAAUAGUUAUGUUAUGAUUCCGUAUGUUCGUGCGCCCACGUGUCAGUUGGGACUGAAAAAUCUUACUAUAUGAUAGAUGAGCUAAAUUCAAUUAACGUGUUGUAUUUUUGUGGAUGACUAGAUGUUUGUAAAUUAGAAUUUAUAAGGAUCCUAAAAUAGUAAAUGUACUCCUAGCAAGCAGCAUCAACCUUUAACUUAUGUUUAAACUUGUAAUAUGGAAAGUUAUAAAUCCUAUGCCACAUAUUGUAUAUAUGUAUAUAUUGUCAGGAAAUUAGCUUAAGUUUAGAAUUUGCAAUCAAUUAUUCCACUCAAUUUACAAAAAUAAAAACAUAAACAUGACCGAGUAUAUGUCACGGUUCAUUAAAUGUGAAUCCUUAACUGAACAUUACAUAUUUUAAAAUGAUUAUGUUAUAUUAAUAAAAUUAUAGCUAUAUUUAUAUAAUCUACUUAAUCUAUCAACAGUUAUUUUAAAUUAAUUUAUGAAGUUUUGUAUUUUGUAAAUAUUGCUUUAGAUUUACACAGGUUUGUCAACAAUCAGGAAAGAGCCAUUUAGAAAAUAGCUACACAACCGUGCAAGAUUUUUUCAAGAUCUAAAUCUUCUUUUUUCUUUAUUUUUUGUACUUUUACCCAUGUUAGGUUGCUUUACAAAUUCUUUGAGGCCUUUUAUCAAACAGGUGCCGCGCAAAGAGCCAUAGCUGAUAAUCGUUAAUGCUUGAUUAUGAUUUUGUAUCAUUGAUAAUGAGCAGGAUUUUGUGUAUUGAGUUUUCCUUAAUCAUGCCAUAGGAAGAGAGCAUGAAGGAAGAAUAAAGAACAUCAAAUUGACCAAAAAAAAAAAAUUGCAAGACAUCCUUUCAAAACGACAAAACACGCUUUAAAGCAAACCCAAUGUCCUGUCGUUCAUCUCUUUCAGGUAAUUAGUAAGUUUUGAGAGCAACCAGAAAUCCAAAGGCGCUUGAAAGCCUACCUGUCAAACCCACCCAAAGGCAGCCCAAACCCAAAAUGGCCCAUUGGAUGAGUAACUUACGACGUCGUGUUUGUUAUCCAAUUUAUAAAUUUUUUUUUCUCUCUUCCCUAGAAUAGAAAAAAAAAAAAUGAUUGUGAUCUUUUUUUUCUUUUAAGAAAAAAUAUAUCAAUUAUUAUGAAUGCAAUGGCAUUAUAUCUUUGAGAAAAUAGAAACUUUUUAGCAUUAAAAUUUGAAAAUUUUAAAUUAUGUCUUUCCGUAAUUUUCCUUUUUUUAUUUAAAAGAUUUUAAUUAUUUUAUAUAAUAAUUUAGUUCACAUAAAUAUUCAAAAAAAUAAAAUUAGAGACAUGCUCCAACAUAACAAGGAAAGUAAACAUAUAUAUGUUUUAUGAAAAUUGAAAUUUCUAAACAAAUAAAUACUCGUGAAUGCAAAAUAAAAUCCAGUAAAGAUAAAACAAAUUAAACUCUUAUUAAACAGAAUAUUAAUACUUGUUGUGGGGUCCCUCCUACAUGUGGACCCACAAAAAUUUGAAAAGAAAAAAAAUAGAAAAAAAAAAAGAUUAAACACGUUUUUAUUUAUUUUUCAAAGGUUGGCAGCCAACCAUUUGAAUGGUUGGCAUGGCAUUUGACAAAUGAGUGCCGUGCAUUGGUAAUGCGGGGCUCUCUCCCUCUCAACCUUCUCCUAUAAAUAGGAGAAGGAUUCUCCUUAAUCAGACGUAUAAAAACAAAAACAUAAAAACAAAGAAAAAUUUUAGGAAAAGGGUUCCUAAAAUUAGGAAAGAGAGAAAAUAGUGAGGAUUGUAAUUUUUGGGGUGUUUUUAUUACACUUAGAGUGCCACUAUUUUUUGUAAUCUCUUUUGUACCUACUAUUUUUAGUAGAAGAAUUAUUCGAAGUUUUUGUCCCGUGGACGUAGCCCAUAACAGUUGAAGGGUGAACCACGUAAAUCUCGGUGUUCUUAUUUUUCAUCUGGCAUUACGGUAAUUAUUUUAAUUUUUACCGUGGUUAUUAUUUCUGGUGGAUUCUUUCGUCAAUAUCCAAUACGAAAUUAUUAGAGGUAUAUGUGGUAAUAGUAAUUUUAUUCUUACUUUUACUACCGGUAUUUUUCCACAGGCCCCACUCGGGAUAAGUUAUAAUCCCAACAACUGAUAUCAGAGCCUUUGGUUGGUAAAUUCUGUCAAAGUUACUAUUCACGUGAAUAGUGAAUUUCGUAAAUAGUGAAAUUUUGUCAGAUUCAGAAUUCAACAUGGCUAACGACGAGGCAAUGAUCAAAUUGACGGAUUCGAAUUAUUCAAUGUGGAAAUCCAGAAUGGAGGACUACCUCAAUUGCAAAGAUCUGUAUGAUCCAAUUGAAGGUGACAGUGCAAAGCCNNNNNNNNNNNNNNNNNNNNNNNNNNNNNNNNNNNNNNNNNNNNNNNNNNNNNNNNNNNNNNNNNNNNNNNNNNNNNNNNNNNNNNNAGAAAUGAAAAAGAUCCUCAAGUUCUCUGGAAGAAAUUAGAGAAUAUGUACGAGGCUACGAAUGCUCAAGGAAAAGUCUUCAUGAUGCAUAAAGUCAUGAAUUUGAAGCUGUCAGAGGGACGAUCAAUUAUACAACACCUGAACGAUUUUGAAGGACUCGUAAUUGAGUUAGCAGUUAGCGGUCUGUCCUUAGAAGACGAGAUGCAAGCAUGUCUACUGUUGGGAUUUCUACCGGAUAGCUGGGAUACUCUUGUGGUUUCAUUGAGUAACUCAGCUCCAAAUGGUGUGGUAACGAUGUCUAUGGUGAAGAAUAGACUACAUAAUGAAGAACUAUGAAGAAGAGAUGUUGCCAGUACCAGUUCACAAGCCCUUGUCACAGAGAAUAGGGGCNNNNNNNNNNNNNNNNNNNNNNNNNNNNNNNNNNNNNNNNNNNNNNNNNNNNNNNNNNNNNNNNNNNNNNNNNNNNNNNNNNNNNNNNNNNNNNNNNNNNNNNNNNNNNNNNNNNNNNNNNNNNNNNNNNNNNNNNNNNNNNNNNNNNNNNNNNNNNNNNNNNNNNNNNNNNNNNNNNNNNNNNNNNNAGUCUUAGGAGAAGAUGGUGAGGUAACUUUAGUCACUCAUGAUGCAGAUUGCUGUCAUGUUGGAGAUGCAGAUACCGAGUGGAUAGUAGACUCCGGUGCUUCAUACCACUGUGUUCCAAAAAGGGAAUACUUUUCCACUUAUAAAGCAGGAGACUUUGGCACUAUUAAAAUGGGAAAUAAUAGUGUCUCGCAAGUGGUGGGAAUCGGUGAUAUCUGCAUAAAGACAAGUGUCGGGAGCAAAUUAACACUUAAAAAUGUGCGACAUAUUCCUGAUCUUCGGUUGAACCUGUUGUCUGUGAGUGUACUGGACAAGGAAGGCUAUCACCAUCAUACAGGUGGCGGUAAUUGGAAACUCACCAAAGGGUCUUUGGUGGUGGCGAGAGGAAAAUUAUGUUGCUCGCUGUAUAAGACACACGCAAUAAUUUGUGCGAGUCAACUGAAUACAGUUGAAGAUGAUGCUUCACCAAAUUUGUGGCAUAGGCGACUGCCGCACGUUAGUGAGAAAGGGUUGAAUAUGUUGGCUAAGAAGUCCCUCAUACCAUUAGCCAAAGGUAAAAUAAACCCUUGUGAUCAUUGUUUAUUUGGGAAGCAACAUNNNNNNNNNNNNNNNNNNNNNNNNNNNNNNNNNNNNNNNNNNNNNNNNNNNNNNNNNNNNNNNNNNNNNNNNNNNNNNNNNNNNNNNNNNNNNNNNNNNNNNNNNNNNNNNNNNNNNNNNNNNNNNNNNNNNNNNNNNNNNNNNNNNNNNNNNNNNNNNNNNNNNNNNNNNNNNNNNNNNNNNNNNNNNNNNNNNNNNNNNNNNNNNNNNNNNNNNNNNNNNNNNNNNNNNNNNNNNNNNNNNNNNNNNNNNNNNNNNNNNNNNNNNNNNNNNNNNAUUAUUGUAGUCAGCACGGUAUCAGGCAUGAAAAGACAGUCCCUAGUACGCCUCAAUACAACGACAUUGCUGAAUGGAUGAAUCGCACCAUUAUUGAGAGAGUCAGAUCCAUGCUCAAAAUGGCCAACUUACCUAAGCCAUUUUGGGGAGAAGCUGUCAAUACUACUAUUUACCUAAUCAACUGACUACCUUCAGCACCUCUGGAUUUUGAUAUCCCGGAGAAGGUCUGGACAGGUAGAAAUAUUUCAUACUCUCACCUGAGGGUAUUUGGCUGCAAGGCAUUCAUGCAUGUUCCGAAGGAGCAGAGAUCAAAGCUUNNNNNNNNNNNNNNNNNNNNNNNNNNNNNNNNNNNNNNNNNNNNNNNNNNNNNNNNNNNNNNNNNNNNNNNNNNNNNNNNNNNNNNNNNNNNNNNNNNNNNNNNNNNNNNNNNNNNNNNNNNNNNNNNNNNNNNNNNNNNCAGGGGGAGCCAGAGAACCCCAUUACACCAGAAGGAGUUGAACCUCAGUUAAGAAGGUCAACCAGAGAACGCCAACCAUCUACAAGGUACCCUAGUUCUGAUUACAUUUUGAUUACUGAUGAGGGGGAGCUAGAGAGCUUCCAUGAUGUGCAAUCUUGCAAAGACAAAGAUUGUUGGACAAAGGCCAUGCAAGAAGAGAUGAAUUCUUUGAAAAAGAAUGACACGUAUGAGCUGGUGAAACUUCCAAAAGGGAGAGAACACUCAAGAACAAAUGGGUGUAUAAAUUGAAGAAAGAUGAUGGCAACCUACUGAGAUACAAAGCUCAAUUGGUCGUCAAAGGCUUUACUCAAAAGAAAGGUAUUGACUUUGAUGAGAUUUUUUCACCAGUUGUAAAAAUGAGUUCUAUUUGAGUUGUGCUAGGUCUAGUAGCCAGUUUGAAUCUUGAGUUAGAGCAGCUUGAUGUAAAGACAGCAUUCUUGCAUGGGGAUCUAGAGGAAGAAAUCUAUAUGGAACAACCAGAAGGAUUCAAGGUCAAGGGAAAAGAGGACAUGGUUUGUCGCUUGAAGAAGAGCUUGUACGAGUUGAAACAAGCACCGCGACAGUGGUAUGAAAAGUUUGAUUCUUUCAUAGUGAAUCAAUGAUACAAAAGGACAGAUGCAGAUCCUUGUGUAUAUGUUCAGAAAUUCCCUGAUGGUAAAUUUAUCAUCCUUCUCUUAUAUGUUGAUGAUANNNNNNNNNNNNNNNNNNNNNNNNNNNNNNNNNNNNNNNNNNNNNNNNNNNNNNNNNNNNNNNNNNNNNNNNNNNNNNNNNNNNNNNNNNNNNNNNNNNNNNNNNNNNNNNNNNNNNNNNNNNNNNNNNNNNNNNNNNNNNNNNNNNNNNNNNNNNNNNNNNNNNNNNNNNNNNNNNNNNNNNNNNNNNNNNNNNNNNNNNNNNNNNNNNNNNNNNNNNNNNNNNNNNNNNNNNNNNNNNNNNNNNNNNNNNNNNNNNNNNNNNNNNNNNNNNNNNNNNNNNNNNNNNNNNNNNNNNNNNNNNNNNNNNNNNNNNNNNNNNNNNNNNNNNNNNNNNNNNNNNNNNNNNNNNNNNNNNNNNNNNNNNNNNNNNNNNNNNNNNNNNNNNNNNNNNNNNNNNNNNNNNNNNNNNNNNNNNNNNNNNNNNNNNNNNNNNNNNNNNNNNNNNNNNNNNNNNNNNNNNNNNNNNNNNNNNNNNNNNNNNNNNNNNNNNNNNNNNNNNNNNNNNNNNNNNNNNNNNNNNNNNNNNNNNNNNNNNNNNNNNNNNNNNNNNNNNNNNNNNNNNNNNNNNNNNNNNNNNNNNNNNNNNNNNNNNNNNNNNNNNNNNNNNNNNNNNNNNNNNNNNNNNNNNNNNNNNNNNNNNNNNNNNNNNNNNNNNNNNNNNNNNNNNNNNNNNNNNNNNNNNNNNNNNNNNNNNNNNNNNNNNNNNNNNNNNNNNNNNNNNNNNNNNNNNNNNNNNNNNNNNNNNNNNNNNNNNNNNNNNNNNNNNNNNNNNNNNNNNNNNNNNNNNNNNNNNNNNNNNNNNNNNNNNNNNNNNNNNNNNNNNNNNNNNNNNNNNNNNNNNNNNNNNNNNNNNNNNNNNNNNNNNNNNNNNNNNNNNNNNNNNNNNNNNNNNNNNNNNNNNNNNNNNNNNNNNNNNNNAAAUGCUGCAGAUAUAUUGACAAAGGUCGUUCCGAAGGAGAAGUUUAAACUAUGUGUCAAAGUGACAGGAAUGGAUAGUCCCACCAUGUAGUCGGGAGGGGGAGAAUUGUUGUGGGGUCCCUCCUACAUGUGGGACCCACAAAAGUUUGAAAAGAAAAAAAAAAGAGAAAAAAAAAAAAGAUUAAACACGUUUUUGUUUAUUUUUCAAAGGUUGGGAGCCAACCAUUUGAAUGGUUAGCAUGCCAUUUGAUAAAGGAGUGCCGUGCAUUGGUAAUGCACGGCUCUCUCCCUCUCAACCUUCUCCUAUAAAUAGGAGAAUGAUUCUCCUUAAUCAGACGUACAAAAACAAAAACAUAAAAACAAAGAAAAAUUUUAGGAAAAGGGUUCCUAAAAUUGGGAAAGAGAGAAAAUAGUGAGGAUUGUAAUUUUUGGGUGUUUUUAUUACACUUAGAGUGCCACUAUUUUUUGUAAUCUCUUUUGUACCUACUAUUUUUAGUAGAAGAAUUAUUCGGAGUUUUUUUUCCGUGGACAUAGCCCAUAACAGUUGAAGUGUGAACCACGUAAAUCUCGGUGUUCUUAUUUUUCAUCUGGCAUUACGGUAAUUAUUUUAAUUUUUACCGUGGUUAUUAUUUCUGGUGAAUUCUUUCGUCAAUAUCCAAUACGAAAUUAUUGGAGAUAUAUGUGGUAAUAGUAAUUUUAUUCUUACUCUUACCACCGGUAUUUUUCCGCGGGCCCCACUCGGGAUAAGUUAUAAUUCCAACAAUACUUUGGUAUAAUUAAUUUAUUAUAAAAUCAAAGAAAUAAUUAAAUAAUAAGUUGUAUAAUAAUUUAGUUCACGUAAAGACUAAAUCUAAUAUAUCAUUGUUAAUUCUCCUAAACAAAUAAUUCCUUUAUUUUUUUAUUUGUCUGUAGCCGCCCGUGAAAAAAAAUGUUUCAUUAUUUUUGUCAUAAAUCCAAAUAUAAAUGGAACAUUUCUUUAAUGGAAAACAGCUAUAAUUCCUCCUCUUUGACAUUUUCGUGAAAUUAGAAACCAUAAUACAGAAUUGAACACAAGGAACUUUUCCAUUUCUUCUGUUUAUAAUGUGAGGCUCUCAAUGUUUUGUUGAGUUAGCACUGCACUUUGUGCUGUUCACUUCAGUUCCCUGGCUGCUCCUCACAGUUAUGGACAGUGGACUUUGUCUUUUUCCUGAAUUUUUAUCUUACCAAAAUUCUCAGGAAACAAAAUUGGACCAAUUCAGAAUGUUGAUAAAAUUAAAGAAUGCAGCAAAAUAACAAAGAUAAAACCCUCAAUGAGGAUCGAAACUCAAUUUUUUUUUCUAUAAUUUAAUUUCGGAUUUAAAGUGAGGGUUUAAAUUCGAGAUCGUAUAAUUCUAAAAUUGAUUUCUGUUCAAAUCUGAUUUCUACUAGUUUAAUUUUGAUAAAAAAAACCUUUUGGAUAAGCAUAAGAGUCAUGGAAGGAGACUCCCUUGAUAUACUUGCAGGUUAAAUAUGAGGUAAGACUAUAUAUUCCUGUAAUAUACAGGACAAAAGAAAGGAAACACAGAAGUUGCACAUACUUAUCUUUUAAAUUAGCGGGCAUUAUUGAUCGAUCAUAAUCUACGUGGCCCAACAUUUUCCUCAUGUCAGUUCUUGUUCUUUAAUAAUGAUAAAAAAAAGGUUACAGAGAAAUUUUUUUGUAAUUGAACUACUACUUAUAAGAGCGAGCAAAGUUAUGUCCAUAGGAGAGCGUAGAACUAAAAGACCCAUGGCUGCUCCCAUUUUUAUUGUUCUUAUGUUCGCUACUAUCUGCCUCUUUUCCAGUGUUCUGGCAAAAUCCAACACUUAUAUAAUUCAUAUGGACUCCUCUGCCAUGCCCAAACCAUUCUCUGAUCACCAUAAUUGGUAUCUUGCCACUAUUGAUUCUAUAUCUGAAACUUCCAAACCCACCUCUAAGCAUGUGUACACUUACACAAGCUCCGUUCAUGGAUUCAGUGCUACUCUUACUGAUUCUGAACUUGAAGCCAUCAAGAAAAACCCUGGCUAUAUUUCCUCUUCCCGAGAUCGUCCUGUCAAAAUUCACACAACCCGCACUUCUCACUUUCUUGGCCUAAGUACUGAUUCUGGUGCUUGGCCAGCUACAAAUUAUGGUGAAGAUGUAAUUAUUGGUGUGAUUGACACUGGAAUUUGGCCAGAGAGCGAGAGCUUCAGCGAUGAAGGAAUGAGUCCAGUUCCUUCUAGAUGGAAAGGUACAUGCGAGUCAAGUAGUCAAUUCAAUUCUUCUUUGUGCAACAAGAAGCUCAUUGGAGCUUACUUUUUCAACAGGGGUUUAUUUGCAAACAAUCCAGAAGUAGCCAACAUUACAAUAAACUCAACCAGAGAUACAGACGGACAUGGAACGCACACUUCUUCAACAGCUGCUGGCAAUUUUGUGAAAGGAGCAUCUUAUUUCGGUUAUGCCUCUGGAACUUCUAGAGGUAUGGCCCCGCGAGCAAGAAUAGCCACGUAUAAAGCUAUUUGGAGAUCUGGAGUUUUUGAAUCAGAUGUUCUUGCUGCUGUAGACCAAGCAAUUCAUGAUGGUGUUGAUAUAUUGUCCUUAUCGUUAACUUUAGCCGAUGAUGAUAUGUUUUUGGAAGAUGAUUCAAUUGCAAUAGCCAGUUUUUCAGCCAUUGAAAAGGGAAUAUUUGUAGCAGCGGCAGCUGGUAAUGAUGGCCCUAGUUUUUAUACAUUGGUUAAUGGAGCUCCAUGGCUACUGACAGUUGGUGCUGGUACUGUAGACCGCGAACUUCAUGGAAUUUUAACUUUGGGCGAUAAAACCCAAUUCAGCUUCCCUACGUUAUAUCCAGGAAACUUUUCUUUAAGCCAGAGAACUCUCGUUUUCUUGGAUGGGUGUGAAAGUGUGCAAGAAAUGAAAAAAUAUAAACACGACAUUAUUGUGUGCAAGGACAAUCUGAGUUUCAGUAGUCAAUAUGAAAAUGCGGAGUCAGCAAAUGUUGCAGCGGCUGUUUUCAUUACAGAUAUAACCAGAUUGAAUUACUACACUCCAAGUCCAUUUCCAGCUGCAUUUAUCGGUGUACAAGACGGCCAGAAGGUAAUAAACUAUAUGACAAGCAGCAAUGAUCCAAAAGCAAGUCUGCAAUUUCAAAAGACUAUCGUUGGCACAAAACCAGCACCAAAGGUAGCAAGUUAUAGUGCUAGAGGUCCAUUUACAAAAUGCAAGUAUGUUCUAAAACCAGAUAUUAUAGCUCCUGGCUCAUCAAUUCUAGCUUCAUGGUCUCCAGUCAGUUCAGUUACGAAAGUUCGAAAACACGACUUGUUUAGCAAAUUCAAUCUUGAUUCAGGAACUUCAAUGGCAACCCCUCAUGUAGCUGGCGUCGCCGCCCUUGUAAAGAAGAUGCAUCCAGAUUGGAGCCCUGCAGCCAUUAGAUCUGCCCUUAUGACAUCUGCAAAUCCAUUAGAUAACACUAACAGCCCCAUUAAAGAUGAAGCAGAUGAUAAAAUACCUGCAGCCACACCUCUAGAUAUUGGAGCUGGACAUAUAGAUCCUAACAAGGCACUUGAACCAGGGCUUAUUUAUGAUGCCAAAACAGAAGAUUACAUAAAGUUUCUCUGUGCGAUGAACUUGACAAAGAAACAGAUACAAUUCAUAACAAGAUCUAGCCAUCACAAUUGUUUAAACAAGUCUUUAGAUCUUAAUUACCCAUCUUUCAUAGCUUAUUUUACUGGGGAUGAGUCAAAAUCAAAUGGGAAAAUGGUGGUGCAGGAAUUUCCAAGAACUGUGACCAAUGUUGGAGAAGGAAUUUCGAAUUAUACUGCAAAGUUGACAAAGAUGAAUGGAAUAAAGGUUAGUGUGGAGCCACAGAAAUUGGCAUUCAAGAAAAAGAAUGAGAAGCUGAGGUAUAAACUAAUUAUAGAGGGUCCAAAAUUAUUGGAAGAGGAUGUGGUGUAUGGAUCAUUGAGCUGGGUUCAUGACGGUGGUAAAUAUGUUGUUAGGAGUCCUAUAGUAGCUACAAACCUGGUCCCGUAAUAAAAAUAAUAUAUAAUAAUAUCUUUCAAGGGCAUAUAUACGUGUAUUAAUAAUUGUCAUUUAUAUUAGUAAAAAUUAAAGUGACAUUGAAUAAUUCGUCUUCCUUUCACUUUUCCUUUAUUCUCUAUGUUUUUUCAAAAAUAAAAUGCUGGGACUCACGGGCCAUUGUCUGCCACAAACAUUACUUUUUUUCCUUUUUUAAAUGCAGCAUCCUUCCAUCGGUCAGGUAACUCUCUCUCUCUAUACGUAUGUAUAUACAUAUAUCAUUAAAAGUUAUAUAAUAUUAUAAAUUAUUAUCUAAUACGCUAUUAAUUUAAUGAUAUAUUAAUCAAUUAUAUUUAAUAUAAUUUAAAUUAAUUAAUAAAUAAUCACCUAAAUUGAGCCAUUAUUGUUUUAUAUCUUUAAAUAAAUUGUUUGAAAAUAAGUAGAGUAUAUAUUUAUUUAUUAUAUUAAUUGUGAUAGGCUCCCUCUUACACUUUAUUAUAUUAAAUUUUAUUAAAUAUAAUUGAUUAAUCCUAUUACAAAUGAGAGGGUAGAAGCAAAUGGAGUAAAAAGAUAACAACUCAUAAUGUAAAAAUAUGUGAUAUGGGCUUAUUUAAGCAUGGGCCAACUAAUGUUAAAAAAUUAAUACUGACCAAUUAGUUAGUUGACUUCCACCUUUAUAUAGCUUUUGUGGAUUGACUAUUUAGUUAACGUGGGAUUCUUAACAAUACCGCCUUUCAUUUUUACUUUUUUUUAUUUAUCUCUAUAAAUUUUAACAUAUUUAAUCUAUACUGCUUCCCACAUGUCUAUCUAAAUUUUUACUUUUAUAAUAAAAACCGUAUUCAUAUUUUUUAAUAGCAUAAUAAAAUGAAAUUUGUUUGAGAAUCUAUAAACAACAAACACACACACACACAUAUAUAUAUAUAUACACACACCUAAUGUCAUCAAGUUCGCGUAUCACUCAUCGAGACUAGACUGUGUGGCUCUUGCUUAAAAGACCCCAAACAAACCAGCUAAUGAUAUCAAUAAAUUAUCUGCAAGUCAAUAAUAGGCGUUAGAAUAACAUAAUAUCGAUAUGUAAUCAUAUAAAUUCGAAUAUAAGAAUAAUUCAAGUAUCAUCGAGAAACACAUAGCAACACACAGUACAACAUCGCGCAUAAAGGUAAAAUGAUAAUUUUUAUUUAUAUAUCCAAAAUUACAUCAAGGCAAUCAAAUUUACAAUAAGGCAAUUAAUGACACUUUUCAUAGGCGUAGGAGAGUGACGAGUGGUCAAAAUCACUUGAACGAUAGAGUCCUUCUUCUGCCCUAUAUAUAUUUCAAUUUUCUUUUUUAGCCUUACGGGAAUGUUGCUAGUUACAUAAUAUACUCUUGCAUAUCUUUCUAGAAAAUUAACCAAUUACAUAGUGUUGUUGUAUUCAAAUUUAACAAAUGAAUAAACAAUUUUCUUAAAAUUGAAUGCUCCAAAUUUUUUGGAACCUUACAAAAUAUUAUUUCAUUUUCUAACUGGAGUUUAAACUAGACUUCAAAUAUUGAGGAGUUGAUGUCAGAGUUCUCAAAUUUUAAAAAAAAAAAAUGAGGAGCUAAAAAUAGAAAUAGAGCUAUAUUUUAAAUAUUGAGAGUAAAUAGUUACAUUUUUUAAAAUAUAAAUAAAUUUUUUUGGGUGGAAAAUUGAAUUUUAAGAAGUUUAGCCUCUUAAAAACCACGUAUAAUUCAACUUUAAAUCCAAAUUGUGAAUCUUUUAAGUGUUUUUUUUAUUAUAUUUCAUAAAUUUAUAAUUUCAACAAUUAAAAUUAAAAAAAUGGAAAAAUAAUAGAAAAACAAUAAAAAUAAUUAUGUAACGACAUUAUCAUCAUUUUUUGUCUUACUAAUUUUUUUAAUUAAUAUUAUUAAUUAUGGAAAUAUUUAUUUGUUUCAAAUAAAUAUUUAGAAAUGUUGAAGAUAAAAUUAGUAGAAACGAUCUAAAAACAGGUGAAAAAAAAAAGUAAAACCAAAAAUCGGUUCAAUUUUAGAGCCAAAAAUUUAAAAGCACCUUUAAAUAAGCCUUCAUAUUUUGAAAGCCUUGCAGGCUCAGGCUUUUAGCCAUUUCUGUCUCUGUCUUCCUCAUCGUCUUCUUCUUUUUAUUUCUCUCCCAGAUAUAUGGAAUUCCGGAAAUGAAGGUAUAUUCAUCACUGCUUUCGUUCGACAAAAAUAAUAAUAAUAAUAAUAAUGAAAAAUAAUUCGUAGAAUUAACAUAUAAGUUCUGUUUGUUUUCAAUUAUUUUCUUACUUGCAGGAAUCAAAUGCUUUCUGCAAUUUCUCUAUCCAACUUCUCUUUUUUGGCCUUUGUUUAUUCGUGGCCGGUUGUUCCUGUCUCAAGGUUCUCUCUUCGUUUUUCUUUUCUUGACAUCUUAAUUUUGCUUUUCAAAUUCAAAAUUAAUUAUAUGAGUGAUUAUCAGAAUCAUACUUGUGUAUGUGUUUAUGUGAAUCAAACAGUUGGGGGAGACCUGUUCGUCAAAUAAUGAAUGCGAAGCCGGAUUGCGAUGCGAAGCUUGCCCUGCAAAUGGAAAUACCCGAGCCAGAUGCAUCCGGACUCGGCCUUUGAGCCCAACAUCAAAAGUUGGUCUUUGAUAUUUCAUUUAUUUAUUUAUUCAUUUAUGUUUGUUUACUAGUUUGUUAGGUGUUUGAUAAUAAAACUCAAAGAAAUGAAGAAGAGGUAUUGAUUGGUUUUGGUUGCAUUUUGUGUUUGGUUAGGUAAAAGGUCUGGCAUUCAAUAAAUAUUCAUGGCUAACAACCCACAACUCUUUUGCGCUCAUCAACUCAAAAUCGCAAACGGGUACAAUUCUGCUAUCUCCUUCAAAUCAAGAAGACACUGUUACCAGUCAACUCAAUGUAAGAUAAAGUAUAUAUUGCUGAUAAAUUGCUGCAUUCUAUUUUCUAGUGUCCUUAUGAUUAUUGUUCUUUGAUUAAAAAUAAGCAUCCAAGCUCUGAUUUUCUUUUGGAUUAUUUAGCAUGGAAACAUACUUGGCCACUAAAUGCCCUCCUGCCUUUAAUGCAAAAUGGUGAUUAUGAAGCUAUGGCUCAAUUGGAAAAAUGUAAAGGGUUGAACACGUUUUAUCUUUACCCUUUAAUAAAACUUUUUGUGUAUUGCCUUUUCUCUAAAUUAGAUUAUCUAAAUGGCCUGCUAAAAGUAAAAUUAAUCUGCUAACGGAAACUGUAUUCUCUUAUAGAAUGGAGUUCGAGGAAUUAUGCUAGAUGUGUAUGACUUCAAUAAUGACAUCUGGUUAUGUCACUCUUUUGGUGGCAAUUGUUUCAACUACACAGCAUACGUGAGUCCAUCUCUUAAUGUUUGCUUAAUUAGAUUCUACUCUGCAAUAAUUUAGGUUAUCUUUUUAUCUUUUGAAUUGACAAGCACUGAAUUUUGAUCUUCUCCAGCAACCUGCCAUCAACGUGCUAAAGGAGAUUGAGGCCUUUCUGGCUGCGAACCCAUCAGAGAUCGUCACUAUUUUCAUUGAGGAUUAUGUGCUAUACCCACAAGGCUUGACCAAGAUUUUUGAUGCAUCUGGUCUCAAGAAAUACUGGUUUCCUGUAUCAAAGAUGCCUAAGGAUGGAGAAGAUUGGCCAACGUUAGAUGAUAUGGUCCAGAAUAAUCAGCGCUUGGUGGUCUUCACAUCUAAAGCAGAUAAGGAGAUCUCUGAGGGCAUUGCUUAUACUUGGAAAUAUGUGGUAGAAAAUCAAUGUUAGUUUCUCCGUUUCAGUAUAUUUUUACUAUUUAGUUAAAGAUUUUUGCUUGGAUAUCUAAGAGCGCCAGUUCUGAUUUUUGCCGUGGAAUUGCAGAUGGGGAUAGUGGAAUGAAAGCUGGUUCAUGUCCAAAUAGGGUUGAAUCGCUUCCAAUGAGCUCAAAAAGAGUAUCACUGGUUGUUCUAAACUAUUUUCCAGCUAUUCCCAAUGUAACAGAAUCUUGCUUCGAAAAUUCAGCUCCAUUAAUUGGCAUGACUAAAAGUUGCUACGAAGCAGCUGGACAGCGGUGGCCAAACUUCAUUUCUGUUGAUUUUUAUCAGGUAUAUUUAGUUGAUAUGCUUUUACUGUAUCGCUGCACAAUUUAAAGAACUGGAGAUAGAGAUUUGUUAUUAACUUCUCAGAGUUCGUUGUUGUAGAGGAGUGAUGGUGGGGGUGCCCUACAAGCUUUGGAUGAAGUGAAUGGUCAACUUACUUGUGGAUGUGCCAAUAUUGCCUACUGCAGGGUAUGUUGCUACAAGGUUCUGCUUAUUAAAUGAAAAUUCUUGUAUCUUUUCAGUUUCUCAUCAUUUCAUCCUUUUUGCAUCUGGACUUUCAAGAUUGGGUCCACAAAGGUUAUUUACUAGUGUAUCAGCUUAGCUGAUCCUUCUUGAACAACUUGCUAAAAAGUUACAUUUUUUCUUUUUUAUAAUUAAGUGUUUGGAAAGAAAAUUUUUCAAUCAGUUGCCUUUUUCACUGUAUUAUUAGGAUAGAUCAUUGGACCUGACCAAUGAACUACAUUCAUCUACAACUUCCCCUCUCUUUCUUUAUUACAUCGCAGAGAGAAUUACUGAAAAAAUUCAGAUAAUUAUCCCUGUUUCUGAUUUUGAUUUGUUAUCUCAUGGCAGGAAAAUGCCCCGCGUGGUACAUGUGACGUUCCGCAAAUUGCACCCCCUCCACCUGCUGCUGAUGCUAAUGCACACCCACAACCUUCCUCCCAUAAUGCUUCUGACACCAACAUUCCCUAUUUGCACGUCAACCAAUCCCAGGUACAAUGGAUAGUCGGUACAAUUAUGUCCAUUGCACCACCUCCUGGUGCUGCACAACACUCCCCUCCUCCUUCCAGUAACAUUGCUUAUUUUGAUGCUAAACCAAUCCAGCUACAAUGGUUGCUGGGAACAAUUUUGAUAGUAAUGCCAUUAUUUUGGCUGUAAUUAUUAUGCUCAUGAGCCUCUUUACCCUUUAUUCUGUCCCAAACCAUAAUAUUUUGUACAGAUUAUUUGUUGUCUUCACUUUGAGGAGGGUUGUUGUCCAUAAGAGAAUUAUUUAUGUUAGAUUACACUUUGAUUUGUGGUCACCAUUGCUUGUACAUUUGACACUGUAUAAGAAAAUAUAUAAAGAUGACUUUACACAUUAUCUUUUUUUUUCUCCGUUAGGCUGUGAUUAAGAUUUAAACUCAGCAAUUUCAUAUCUCUGGAAAAGCUUCCAUAUAUCUAAACUAAAAUAAAUGUUUGUAAUAUUAGCUAUAUAUAUAUAUAUAUAUAUAUAUAUAUAUAUAUAUAUAUACACCAUGUGUGAAUCAGUGAAUGUCCAGAUUCGGAGGAAUUGCUAAGAUAAGAAAAAAAAGUGAUUUUUGAUUUUUUUUUUUUUUUUUGUAAAAAAAAAAAAAAAAAGAAGUGGUUGUGAAAAAUAGACAUAAUGUUGCUAUGUCUGUUCUUUGAAGUUUCUGCGAACCUGUAAAUCUUUCUAGAAAGCAGAAAAUCAGCGUUUCAGCUUGAGAAAGGUCACGAGUACAAUUUUUAUUAAAAUGAAAAAAAGAAAAAGUAAAUUUUUAGAUUAUUGAAUGCUUCAGAUUUAGAACCUAUAUACGGAACGGAAUAUUAUUUUGUGACUUUAGCUCGUUUCCUUCAACCAUAAAUUAUAAAAAUUGUAAAACGAAGCACGUGUUGCUUAGUUAUCGUUUCUUAAUUACCUAAUAAUUAAAUAAAUUAAUAUUUCUCUCUUUAUUUUUAUUUUGAAUAUUUUUACGAUCUAACUCUUAAUAAUUGGAUUGAUUGGUGAAAAUAUAUUGCAUUUUCAUAUGAAUUAAUUUAUUCUAUUGCAUUUGCAUAUGAAGUUACAUAGCUGUAGCAUUCAUCUUUGUUGUUUUAUCAAUGGAAAAAAUGAAAAAAUGUAUUAAAAAAAACUAUUCUCUAAAUAUAAAAAAUUAUUGCAAACUAUUUAAGGGGAUUUAUUUAUUUAAAACGAAUUUAUAAAUUUAUUUAUAGAUCAAGCUAAUAAAAAAUAAAAUUUUAUACGGUAUAUUUCUAACUAUAUAUUAAAAAAAAAAAGCUAAAUAACAAAAAUAUUUAAAAAUAUCUGUUUUAAUUAAUUGAUUUCCUGGAUUAAUAAGCAAGUCUAAUUCCUGUUAAAAACUAAAAUAACGAUAAAAUUACAACCAAAAGCCGCUACGUGACAAAAGAGUAACACCUAACGAACCUACACGCGUAAAUUUAAGGUGACGUAAGUAUCCUGUCGCUGGCAACGUUGCUGGUCAUUUGUUCAGUUCACGCAAUAGUUAGAGCCAAAAAUUCAAAACCCACUUCUUUAAAUAAGCAUUCAUAUUUAUUAAAAGCCUGUCAUUUCUGUUUUCUCUGUUAUCGUCUCUCUGCUUUCUCUGUCCAUGAAGGUAUGCAAGUAACUAUACUCUUCUUCACUUUCUUCAUUUCAUUUUUCUCUUUUAAAUACAAAAAACCCAUAGUUAUUUUGUGUGUUUCUCCACGCAGAGAUCAAAAAAUGGUAUCUUUAAUUCCUCUGUCCAACUUAUAUUCAUUGGUCUUUGUCUGUUCGUUGCCGGUUGUUCCAGUCUCAAAGUUGGUUCCUUUACUCUGCUUUUCAAAUAUUAAUUAUAGAGAGAAUUAGCUUGUGAUGUUGUUUUGGUGUGUUUCUAUUGAUUCAACAGUUAGGAGAGACCUGUUCUUCAAAUAGUGUUUGUGAUAGUGGAUUGAGUUGUGAAACUUGCCCUGCAAAUGGAAAUACCCGACCCAGAUGUACCCGGAUUCAGCCUUUGAACCCGACGUCUAAAGUGGGUAUUUAGACAUUUCUUUGUUGAUUUAUGUUUGUUUAUUAUUAUUGAUUGAUUUUGGUGGUUGGUUAGGUAAAAGGUCUGGCAUUUAACAAAUAUUCAUGGCUAACAACUCACAACUCUUUUGCACUUAUGAAUGCUACAUCGGAGACGGGUUCAGUUCUGCUAGCUCCUACAAAUCAAGAGCAUUCUGUUACCAUUCAACUCAAGGUAAGAUAUAAGAUUAUGCCUGAUGUCUAGUACACAUUUCAUUUUUGAUUGUUUCAAUUCUUGAGAACGAUAAAGAUUUUUUUUUUUUUUUCUAGUAUAUAUUUCUUCUAUUUGUUUAUUUGUAUAUGUAGCACAUUUACUAUAUACUAUUUCGGUUUUGCGAUAUUUUAUGCGAUUAAAGUUAGAUUUUUUUUUUUUCUUAUUGAAUAAGCAAUGGGUUGCUAAAGAGAAAAAGAAUGGUUAGAAAGUUUGCUAGUAAAGGGGAGGGAACAAGAAUACAUCUUUAUGAUAAUUGCUGCACUGCAUGGCCUGCUUAGCUGUCUUAUAAUUGCAGUUCUUUGAUUAGUAAGUAAGAAUUCAAGCUUUCGUUGUCUUUUGGACAAGAAAAGUAAUUUGUGUUCCAGCUAAUGCCAAUCAUUGUUUUAGCCUGCCGUUCUUUAGCUAAAGAACUCCAACUUAUGACAAUUGUUUGGUACUUUGGUUGAUCCAAUUUUGAGUAUUAGGUGAGUCCAGUGAUUCAAAUUGAAAUCAAUAAUGUAAAAAGCACGUGCACCUAUAUCAAUUCAAACCAUGAUUGCCUUCCUUUAUCUGUUUAGCAGAUAUGACCCGAUACGUUGUUAUAGGAUAUUUAUCUUGUAUGAAUGUGUAAAUUUUAAGCUCCUACCAUCUUUGACCAUAUGAAUGGAAAAUUUUGCAAACUUGUUGUUCAAAUGGAAAAAGGAUUGACCGGUUGGCCGAGAUGAUAUUUGUUUUUUUGGAUCCUUUAAGUAAAACUAUGAUUUUUUUUUUUUUUUAAUUAUACUGGCUAAAUAGCCUGCUGACCAAAAUAAGCCUGCUAAUGAAAAUUUAUUUUCUUGUAGAAUGGGGUUCGCGGGCUUAUGCUAGAUAUGUAUGACUUCCAGAAUGAUAUCUGGCUAUGUCAUUCUUUUCGUGGCACUUGUUACAACUUCACAGCAUUUGUAAGACCAUCUCUGCUGUAGCUUAUUCAGUUCCUACUCUACAUAAAUUUAGGGUAUGUUUAUCUUGCAAUUGACAAAGCACCAGAUUUUGACCUUCCCCAGCAACCUGCCAUCAACGUGCUAAAAGAGAUUGAGACCUUUUUGGCUGCAAACCCAUCAGAGAUUGUUACUAUUUUCAUUGAGGACUAUGUGACGUCCCCACAGGGGUUGACCAAGGUUUUCAAUGCAUCUGGUCUCAGUAAAUACUGGUUCCCUGUAUCAAAGAUGCCUAAGAAUGGAGAAGAUUGGCCAACAGUGGAUGAUAUGGUCCAGAAUAAUGAGCGCCUGGUGGUCUUUACAUCCAAAUCAAAUAAAGAGGCCUCCGAGGGCAUUGCUUAUAAUUGGAAAUAUGUGGUAGAAAACCAAUGUGAGUUUCUUUAUUUCAGUAUUUAAAUUAGAGACUGUUAUUUGGAUAUGUAAGAAUCAGUUUUAAUCUUCACUGUAAAAAUUGCAGACGGAGAUGAUGGGAUGAAAGCCGGUUCAUGUCCAAAUAGGGCUGAGUCGCCUCCCAUGAACACAAAAACGAUAUCCCUGGUUCUUCAAAACUAUUUUCCCAGUAAUCCUAAUUUAACAGAAGCUUGCCUGGACAAUUCAGCUCCAUUAAUUAGCAUGACCAAUAGUUGCUAUGAAGCUGCUGGCAAACGGUGGCCGAACUUCAUUGCUGUUGAUUUUUAUCAGGUAGUUCCUGAUACAGUGAUAUGCAUUUACUAAAUUACUGCAAAUUUUUUUAAUUGGUAGAUAAAAUUUUGAAAAGUAGUUUUGGCAUUAAUUCCUUGGAGUUGUUGUAGAGGAAUGAUGGUGGGGGUGCCCCAGAAGCUCUGGAUCAAGUGAAUGGUCAGCUUACUUGUGGAUGUGAAAAUAUUGCCUACUGCAAGGUAUAGAAAUUCAUGUUUCUUUUCAAUUUCUUUUCAUUGUUGGUUUUGCAUCUAAAUUUCAAGAUAAGGUUGAUCAAGUUCUUACAUUUGAACAAAUUUAAGAUUGACAUGCAAACUAUAUGCUUACGCUUGUCAUUAUUUCAAAUCAUGAACUCACUCAACUGGAAAUAUUUGUUUGAUUUAUCAACCGAGCUAAUCCACCUAAAUGUUUUUCUAUACUCAUUUCUGACUUUUCAUUUGUUAUUCAUUGGUAGGCAAAUGCCACGCGUGGCACAUGUGAUGCACCACGAAUUGCCCCUCCACCUGCUGUCGCUUCUGCUGGUGGAAGUUCACAAUCUCCACCUGCAUCAACUCCCACAAACAUUGCUUGUGUGAAUGCUAGACCGGUCCGAUUCCAGUGGUUGUUGAGGAUAAUUUUCACAGCGAUGUUAUUAUGGCAGUAAUUAUAUUCAUGACCUUGUUUAGAUGUGCAUCAGAAUGUUUUGUAUAGACGAACUGCGGCUAAUUUCUGUCCUUACUUGGAGUGUGGUUGUUGUAGUUCAUAAGAGAGUGAUUUAUAUUAGUAUGUAGAUUGAAAGGAUACUUUAUCAUAAAUACUUUCUUAUUGAUUCCCUUAUGGGGAAAAAAGACGUACAAGGAAAUUUUUUUUUCCUGUUUCUCAUUCUUUGUCUGCAUUACUUUUUAAUACCCUGAUUUACAAUCCAGUUGGAAAGAUUAAGAAUUGAUUCUUUCUAUUAAGCAGUUUUGAAAAAGUGAAAUUUAAAGGAUGGUGUUAUUCUGUGACAGUAACACAUUGUAUAAUUGUGUGUGCCCCAAUUCAGAGGAGUUUGUAAGCAUGUGGCCUGUCUACAAACUAACUUCUAUUCUUCUCAUGUGACCCAGAAGUAGGAACUUCCUGUGGUUUCCUAUAGUACAUGCACGGACUCAUUUAGCGGGCAAAAUCCUUUGUUUUGUCCAUUACGAUUGAAAUCUUGAAUAAGUAAAAUUAUUCUGGAUCAGGUUUGAACUAUCAAUGGUUCCAAUUCAGGAUACUUGAGCUUUUACCUCGUAAUCUAUCUCCUAAUUAAACGUAAAUAUGUUAGUAUGUUCCAGUUGGCCCUUCUAGUAACAAAAUCCAAGUCAACAUCAACUGACAGAAACCCCUAAAGAUUUUGCAAGGGCAUGUGACUUCAGCAUAACAGCCAAAAAACCCACAAAAUGACUGAAAGCUUCCUUAUAACAUUGCCUAAAAGGAGGCCCAGCAAAGCAUCAAUGGAGGGGACCAGACAUGCUAGACUAAUGCUAUACCCUUAGGUGCCAAGGUUUACAAUGUCACACCUUAAAGCUUCUGCUGUAUGGAUAUUGAACUAGCAAGCUGCAAGCCAUGUUACUUAAGGGACCCUGCUAAUAAUAAUAUCAUGAUCUAACCCUCCUUGCUUAGCAGAAAGUUUUUUGCCUUAUUCAUUACAUAAAAGAGACAUUUGAUAUUUUGAAUUCAUUUAUACCAAACAGAGUGUAAAACUGUUGGUUUUUAAAACAAACAUAGCUUUCAUGUUGAAUGUGAUCAAAACUUGAUGUAAAUCUGAAAUUCUUACACAUAUGAUUCUUUUUUUUUUUUUUUUUUGUCCUUUGCUACCCUGUUAUAGAAUUUGUAAAAAAUAUGGUGUUAUCAUAUUACUAUUAUUAGCUAUAUUAAUAAUAAUAAUAAAAAUAACAAUUUCAACCUCUAUUUUAACUUGCAAAUUAAAUAUAUAAUAACAGGUUUUAUUUUACUGUGACUACAUUGAGCAAGAAUGUGACCUUGAUUGAAUUACAUGAAAGGCCUAAUGCGCAGAGAAUACAAAGUGUCCCUACUCCCAAACAAAAGAGCAUUGGUUGUAACAUUUGAAUUCAAUCUUGCUAUGACGGAUGGUUUAAUAUGGACAGCUAUACAAGACACAAAUAAUAGAGUGGAACUAAUUGACAACCACAAAAAGAGACUUACUUGGAUAGGCCAAUGUCCAGAUGGGGCUGGAGCAACAAACAGUACACUUUUUGCAGUCCCACUUAGAACAAGCUCAAUUAUGUCUCCUCAUUGCUUUUCUUUAUGGCAUUAGCUUGCACCCCACUUCUAUCACCUGUUUCUGUCUCCGGCUUCUCCAAAGAUCCAUCACUUUGCGUGCUUCUGGGAUCCCGUAUAGUUCCACCUUUGCGAUCCUGCAAUCAUUUGAUUCAUAGGCCAUGAAGUUGCUAGUACGAAACACAGUCUAAGCUAUAAGUAUAAUGCUAGUGAGUAAAGAUUUUGUUAUGUAGUGAGAUUGAUACAUACAUCUCUCAAGGGGAACUCAUCAGCUUCGAGCAUAUGUAUAAUAUGCCCCAUUUUUGGUCGCUUCUGUGCAUUUGGGUCUACACAACGUAAAGCUACAAGAAGUGCCCGCUUCAAUGCCCUUGAAGAAGGCUUCUCGGGUAGCUUGGGAUCCAACACCCCUUCAGGAUUUCUGUCGCUAACCAUCUUUUUAAGCCAAUCAACUAAGUUAACCUGAAUUAUGUAUAUACAGUUAGUUAUUAGCUAAAUCAAUAAAGAAGAGAAAAAAAAAAUGACACUAUGAUUGUGUAAUGUGAACCUCUUCCGAAGGCCGGCUAUAAUCAACUGGAUUCCUCCCAGAAAUAAUUUCCAUUACAAGCAUUCCAAAGCUAUAGACAUCACUUCUUUCAUUCAACAUGCCUGUGCUUGCAUACUCAGGAGCUACAUAGCUACAAAAGAAUAAAAAAAUUAGUACAUUUCUACGCACUCACACACAUAAAAUGGAGAUAUACAAGAUCCUCAUACCCAAAUGUUCCCAUUACACGAGUUGUAAUAUAGCUUCUUUCUGAGCAAAGGAGCUUAGCAAGGCCAAAGUCUGAAACUUUGGCAUUCCACAGCUUGUCGAGCAGAAUGUUACUCGAUUUUAUGUCUCGGUGAACAACUUUUGGUUCAAGGCCCUCAUGAAGGUAUGUUAACCUAUAAUAUAUCAAUAUUGGUCCAGUUGUAUUGAAACUUUCUCAAAACUGAGAGAUUGUGAGAAUGAAAGUAGAAAGACAAGCAAUUUACCAACUGGUGCUUUAUAUAGGUACAAAUAUGAAACUUGUAACUUGAUUUUGGAACGGAUUAUUACCCUUUUGCAGUUCCCAAGAUGAUAUUCAUUCUUAUUUCCCAAGUAAGAGGACUACAAGGACCAACAUCCCCAUGAAGCCACUGUUCUAAGUUCCCGUUGUUCACAUACUCAUAUACCAACAUCCUACAAUUGAAGAAACAAACCAUAAUUAAGUUUGAUCAGUGAAGUUAAAGGCUGCAAUAUUCAAUAGUCAAUUUACCACUAAAAGCAGGGGAAAAACAGAGUACCUGUGAGAUCCUUCAGCACAAUAACCAAGCAGUCUCACUAAGUUUUUAUGCCUUACUCUUCCAAUAGCUUCCACCUCUACUUUAAAUUCUUUUUCAGCCUGUCCCCUGAAUAUAAGAACAGAUUCAACUAAUUCAAAAUUGAAAUUGAAAUCAAAUAUCCACAUUGAAAUUAGAGGAUAUAGUUUAUAUUACCUGUUAUUGAGCAAGUUUUUGACUGCUACUUGAGUGUUAUCCCCUAAAACACCAUGGUAGACAAUCCCAUAUCCUCCCUCACCAAUCACAUUCUCAUCAGCAAAUCCAUUAGUGGAGUCUUCCAGCUCUCUCAAAGUAUACCAAUGGCCCCAACCCAAAUGGGAAACAUCAGGACCUACCAUCGCCACCUGAUCAACACCCCCGCCGCCAACAACACCGCCACGUGGCGCCUCGGAAGAAGGAUAAGAAAUCAAAUGCCCUUUGCCAAUAUCAAUCUGAAUCCCAUGAUACCCCAUUGGACUCUCCUCCUCUGGUGGCAUAAGCAGCAAAGCUUGCCUUUCGUUUCCGGCAGCAAUUUCCGGGUCGGGAAAUGGGUCAUUUUGGAUUCCCCGAUGUGGUUUGAUAGACUCAACUCUGAUUUCUUGGAUCUCCUUAGAAACAACUGGGAUUUUGGAUUUCUUAAUACUUUUAGAGCGUUUUGAAGCCAGCCACAGAGUAAUGAGAAAAAGGAUCAGCACAAAAGCUGCUCCAACACAAAAGCCAAGAACUACCCAUAAUCGCAGACCAAAAAUUGAGGUUGGUUUUGACAACUGAUCACUCAUGAGCCCUGUUUUCUGAUCAGACAUUAACUCUGUUUUUAUCUAUAAAAUCAGAGAAAAAACAAGAGGUUUCUUUACAUAUCUAUUCUUUUAGUGUCCCCGUAUAGAAUCUGAAAUUAUAAAGAUUGUUAAUGAAGGCAAAAGAAAUAGAGAGACUAGAAGAAAGUGAAAGUGAGAGUGAUGAAGGAAACAGGUAGCAGCUGGCAUGGGGGGACUUUAAUGAAAGAUAGGGGAAAAAUUCCCCUGGCUACUGGUUUUUCGGGGUGGUUAAUUUUACGCGGGUAGGAGAUGUUGAAAGUAGUACACAUAAAGAAAGAGUGAGAUAGUAAUUAGUGCACAAAAUAAUUAAUUAAAGGUUAAUCCAGCAAGUACCAAUGAAUAAUGAUGUUUAAUUGACUGUUUUGGGUCAUGAACUCAUGAUUUUUAGUGCUCUGACUUUAUUUAUUGGUAAGUAAAGACAUCAUUUGAAACAGGGGAAAUGGGACGAAUAGAGGUGGAGUUUUCCCUUAUUUAUUUAUUUAUUAUGUAUAGAUAAAAUAGGGAAAGAGGUAUUUAUAUCCUGUAUAUAGACUCAUCUUCAGAUUCAACUAAUCAUGAACAUUAUUUGAUUAGCAAUGUAUUUUUCGUUUGUUUUUAUUUAUUUAUUUUUAACUACAAAUGCCCUUUGCCAAUAUCAAUCUGAAUCCCAUGAUACCCCAUUGGACUCUCCUCCUCUGGUGGCAUAAGCAGCAAAGCUUGCCUUUCGUUUCCGGCAGCAAUUUCCGGGUCGGGAAAUGGGUCAUUUUGGAUUCCCCGAUGUGGUUUGAUAGACUCAACUCUGAUUUCUUGGAUCUCCUUAGAAACAACUGGGAUUUUGGAUUUCUUAAUACUUUUAGAGCGUUUUGAAGCCAGCCACAGAGUAAUGAGAAAAAGGAUCAGCACAAAAGCUGCUCCAACACAAAAGCCAAGAACUACCCAUAAUCGCAGACCAAAAAUUGAGGUUGGUUUUGACAACUGAUCACUCAUGAGCCCUGUUUUCUGAUCAGACAUUAACUCUGUUUUUAUCUAUAAAAUCAGAGAAAAAACAAGAGGUUUCUUUACAUAUCUAUUCUUUUAGUGUCCCCGUAUAGAAUCUGAAAUUAUAAAGAUUGUUAAUGAAGGCAAAAGAAAUAGAGAGACUAGAAGAAAGUGAAAGUGAGAGUGAUGAAGGAAACAGGUAGCAGCUGGCAUGGGGGGACUUUAAUGAAAGAUAGGGGAAAAAUUCCCCUGGCUACUGGUUUUUCGGGGUGGUUAAUUUUACGCGGGUAGGAGAUGUUGAAAGUAGUACACAUAAAGAAAGAGUGAGAUAGUAAUUAGUGCACAAAAUAAUUAAUUAAAGGUUAAUCCAGCAAGUACCAAUGAAUAAUGAUGUUUAAUUGACUGUUUUGGGUCAUGAACUCAUGAUUUUUAGUGCUCUGACUUUAUUUAUUGGUAAGUAAAGACAUCAUUUGAAACAGGGGAAAUGGGACGAAUAGAGGUGGAGUUUUCCCUUAUUUAUUUAUUUAUUAUGUAUAGAUAAAAUAGGGAAAGAGGUAUUUAUAUCCUGUAUAUAGACUCAUCUUCAGAUUCAACUAAUCAUGAACAUUAUUUGAUUAGCAAUGUAUUUUUCGUUUGUUUUUAUUUAUUUAUUUUUAACUAUAAAGGUAAAUUUAAUUUAUUAGAUAAAUUAUUAAUCAAAUAAUUAGAGUGAAGUUAUUUUUAGAACAUGAAUAAUCUUAUUUUCUAAUAUUAUGAUGCCAUAAAAUGGCUAAUAAAACAUCUUCAAAUGAGGCACAAUAUGUCAAUUUUGCAUGUUAUUUUAGUCUAACAACUUCAAUCAUUUUUGUCAUCUAUUAGAGAUUUUGCCUAAUCAAAGCACCUAAAGCGUAUGAUAUAAACACUUAUGAAUCUAAAGUUUGGUAGGGUAUUGGCUAGGAAAAAUUAAGUAAUAGUCUUAUCAUGUCAAUUAGUUCAACACUUUUGUAGCCGACAAGCUUCUUUGUUUUGUUUCGAUUCACAAUAUUUGUUCCCUUGCUAAAACAUUAAAACAGUAGUGAUUAUAAUAAUUGAUGUUUUUAAUUUUAAUCAUAAUCUAUUUGUUAGUGGUGGUGGUUGGAUUUUGGAGUCAUUUGCUUAUUCAACUUUAUUUCAGUUGUUGCAAAUCCCAUCAUCAUCUUCCUGUGUUUUAAAAUAUUUUUUUUUCAUAGAAAAAAUAAACUAAAGUAAAAUUCUAAUACAAAAAUUCAAAGGGGUGGUGAAAUAUUUUCGGGAAAAUAAAGUUCAAAACAAGUUUAGAUACAGGUAUAGCCCAAAACAAUUAAGCAUAAGCCCUUCAUCAAAUGGGCUUCAAAUUAUAAUCCGUGUGUUAAAGGCCCAAUUACAAAUGUUGGCGCCAAUCCCGUUCCAUUUCCUGAAUCUUCCCGCCAAUAUUAAUCUCCAAAAGUCAUUUCCGCCUCUCUCCCUCACUGCAAAACCCUUCACGUGAUCUAACAAGCAGAGAGAGAUGACGGACGAACCACCAGUCGUGGCCGGCAGGCGACGGAGCAGGGGACCUGAGGCUACAGCUCGAUCGGAAGCCUUAGAGCGACUAAAAGCCCUACGCCGAAGUGGCCGUAGAUCUGAGAAUGGCGGCGGAUAUGACGUCAAGAUUGAGACUCCGAUAUAUGACACAGUCAAUGAGGAUGAUUACGACAAGCUCGUGGCCCGCCGUCGUGAGGAAGUCCAAGGCUUCAUUGUUGAUGACGAUGGUCUUGGGUAUGGAGACGAUGGUCAAGAGGAGGAUUGGUCACUGGCCGGCUUCAAUCUAUCGUCAGAUGAAUCUGAUGGCGGCGAGCAAAACAACAGACCUAAGAGGAAAAAGACAGAAAAGAAAGAGAAGGAGACGCAACAAAAGAAAGUUAAUCCUGCAUUAUCAGCUGCGGCGGCAAUGAUGGGAAAACAAAGGAUAUCGGCGAUGUUCACGUCUACCGUAUUUAAAAACAAAGAUUUUGGUAAGGGUAGGAGUUUGGAUUGUGAAAAUAUUGUUGAUGAUGUUAUAGCUGAGUUUGCUCCGGAUGAAGCUGAUAGAGAAAGGCGUAGAAGGGGCCAACCGGCUGUGAAGAAUUUCACGGCAAUUAAGGCCGAGGGUCUGGCUGUUAAUGAUGUUGGUUUGACGGCUAAUGAUGAAUUGGGCAGGGUCAUUACAAAUAAUGGUGACAGUGUCGUUAAUUUAGGGAACAGUUGCAAUGUUGAUGAGAAAAAAGGGUUAAUCAUGGAAGUCAAUGUAAAGAAAGCAAUAUACCAAUCGUCCGAUGCGGAGGCUAGUGGAGGAGUAGCUAAAGAGGACGAAAAAGAUUUGGUUGAAGUGAAAGCAGAGCCAGCGGUGAAGAAGGAAGGUGGACAUACGCUUAAUGCGAAGAUUACCGUGGAGGAGAAGGAUCAUGCUUUGAGUGCAAUGGCUGAUUGGCAGGCAGUUAGGAGUGGUGGAAAUGAGAGUGUGGCUGGUGUUAGUGAAGAGGUUAAGAGCGGGUCAAGCUGUGAAGAGCAAUCGGAGUUUGAGCUGGACGCUGAUGGAUCGCUGCCUUUUUACAUAAUUGAUGCUCAUGAGGAGGUUUUUGGUGCUAACCUGGGUACCCUCUAUCUCUUUGGGAAGGUAAUUCAUUAUAUCUGAAACCAUGGCAAUUCAAUUUUUUAGGCAUUUUUUCAUGAAUAUCAAUCAGUUUUGAUACAAGAAUAGGGUUGGCUGACUGAGUUAACUAUACAGUGAGCUGACUUUCUUUAUAUAAUCAUAUGUAACUUGCUUUGUCAUAAUUCAAGAUAGAAUUAGUAAAACUAGUAUAAUAAAUCAAUUAGUCAGAUUGCAAUAGGGUGGCUGGAUGCGUUGCACAUUUGUACUGAGUCCUCAUGAGAACUUAAUGCAGUAAUGUUUAUUGUUAGGAUCUAAGAUGGAGAAAAACAUUAUUUAGUCUUUUGAAUGUGCUAUUCACUUAAAUCCGGAUGCAAAAAGUGAAGUUGUUGACAUCUGACAUUGGAAUUUAGGUCAAAGCAGGAAAUGCAUAUCAUAGUUGCUGUGUGAUUGUGAAGAACAUGCAGAGAUGUGUUUAUGCGAUUCCAAAUGGUACCAUUUUUCAUACCAAUGAGAUGAUCAAGCUGAAGAAAGAUGCUGAAGAGUCACGGAUUUCACCUACUGAGUUCCGUAAAAAGCUGCAAGUAUAUGUCCAUACUGACACACACACACACACACAUAUCCUAUUAAAGAUUUCUUAUUAUUUUUCUCCUCUUCUUUCCGUUUUCUUUCUCCAGCUGCGGUUAACUUGUUCUAACUAUUUUCUUCUGCAGGAAGUAGCAUAUGACCUGAAAAAUGAACUAGCAAGCCAACUAUUAACACUCAAUGUUUCAAGUUUUAGCAUGGCCCCAGUUAAGGUUUGCGAAUAUAAUCAUUCCCCUGUUUCAUAAAGUUCAUGCUAAAGACGUCCACUGCUGUAUCCUUCUACAUCUUUUGCAUUUUGUCCUUAUAUUCUUUUGAUUGACUUUUGUUUUCAUUAUAUCAAACACCUUACAGAGAAACUAUGCUUUUGAGAGAUCAGACAUUCCUGUCGGGGAGAAUUAUGUACUUAAGAUCACCUAUCCAUUCAAGGUAUUGUCCACGACUGUGUGUACUUAUUAGAUGCCAACUUUAUAUUCCAUCACGUUUUUAAAAUUACUGCUGAUGAUUGAUGAAGUUGCUUGGAACCAUGAUGCUCAUAUCACCUAGUUGACACUUCAUCUGCUACGAAUUUGUUAAUUAGAUUCUGUUAUUAACAGGAACCUCCACUUCCAGCAGAUUUAAAAGGAGAAAAUUUCUGUGGUCUGCUUGGAACUCAUCGCAGGUAUGCUGUUGGAGCUUUUAUUUACCAAAAUUCAGGAACGAAGCACUCUUCUGACUUCCAAGAAUACACUAUUUGAGCCUAUGUUGUAUAUGGAUGUAACUGAAAAUUUCAAGUGAAAUGUAUUAUGAAGAAUUCCACUGUUACUAUUCUUCUGCAGCCUGAAUAUUUAGUCUAGCUUUCUUAAUUAAUUUCAAGGGGAAAUAAAUUAUGAUGGUUUUAUCAACUGAGUCAAUCAAUUGUAUAUCUAGGUUGACUGCUUGUUAAAUCAAUGUUUGUGCAUAUAAGUUUUUCUGCAGUGUCUUUGUUCUUGGAGUUAAUUCAUGUCUGCUAUGCAUAUCAAAUUGAGACCCAUGAACUUUUCAUCUUUAUAUGAUGUCACAGUUGUUAAAUUCUUAUCAUGCUUUUGAUGGUAAGCAACAUAAUAACCCAAUGAAUUUCUUUGUUUGGGGAAAGAAAGUUGCAUUAACCAUUAUUAUUAUUAUUCGCAGUGCUUUGGAGCUUUUUCUUGUGAAGAGGAAGGUAAAGGGACCUUCAUGGCUGUCAGUUUCAAAAUUCUCAACUUGUCCAUCUUCUCAAAAGGUAAGAUUUUCAACUCUGCACCCGUUUGUCAUUUUGGUUAGAGCUUAUAAUAUCCUUUCUAGAUAUUCCAAUCUUUAAUGUAAUGUUACAUAGGUGAGCUGGUGCAAGUUUGAGAUUACUGUUGACACACCAAAAGAUAUAUCGGUUUCAUCAUCCUCAAAGAACACAAUAGAGAUUCCUCCAGUAGUUGUUACAGCAAUAAAUUUGAAAACCAUCAUUAAUGGAAAGCAGAAUGUCAAUGAAAUAAUCUCUGCAUCUCUCAUUUGUUGUCACAAAGCUAAGGUUUGUAUAGACCCUUUCUUGAAAAUACUGCUUUUGUUUUUAUUUUCCUGUCUGAUUAGGAGACUCAGCUGAUUCCUUUUCUUCAGUUGUUGAUUCAUGGCACGUAUAUUCUUGCUUCUUGCUAAAUAAUUUAUAUAUUUCAAUAAAUAUAAUGUCAUGAGCAUCUAUUCUUGAUCCACAGGACUCAAAAUUAAUCCCUUUUCUAAGGAGUCACGGAAAAAAUAAAGUAAAAAAAAUGCUAUUCAUAUUAGUUAAUGAAAUAAUUUGAGCAUAAAGAUAUGCCUUGUGUAAGCAUCAAAUACUAGUUUACAGCUCAUUAAUGUUAGAUAUAGACAUAUCUUCUAGCAAAUAGUACAAAAAAAAACAAUCGCUUCUUUUCUGCUUUGGAUGAUACUACAUGGUUAGUGGAAAUGCAAAGGAUUUUAAGUGCAUUUUAAAUGAGACCAUAAUUUAGGGACAGAUGAUACCUGCUUUUCAUAAACUUCCAAGCACGCAAUUUAUUCCUGUGGCAUAUAUUAUUUGAUUCAGAGUUCUUAGGCAUUUUCAGUCUUCAAGUGAGCUCAUGCUUUAGUCUAGCUAAACUUCAUAGUGUUUACCAGUUAAUCUUGUGGAAAUUGUCCUAUUUUUAAGAUAAGCUCUUAUGCUGUUUUACUUUUCAGAUUGACAGUCCCAUGUUGGCCUCAGAAUGGAAGAAACCUGGUAUGCUUAGCCAUUUUACUGUUGUCCGCAAGCUUGAAGGGGGGAUAUUCCCAAUGGGGUUUUCCAAAGAAGUGACUGAAAGGAACACAAACGCUGGAUCAAAUGUAUUGGCCAUAGAAAGCAGGUAAAAUGUUUCUUGCUUAUCAAUUAUCAUUUUUCUUUAUCAGAUACAGCUUUUUACUUGUUUAUUUUAAAUUUCUUUUGCUUAAAGUAUCAUUCAAAAUUGUUCUUCAGUGAAAGAGCUUUGUUGAACCGUUUGAUGAUUGCAUUGAGCAAAUUGGACAGUGAUGUUCUUGUUGGACAUAAUAUAUCUGGGUUUGACCUGGACGUUCUCCUUCACAGAGCUCAGGUGCGUUACCUUUGCAGUAUGCUUAUUAGAGGGAGGAAAGAGGGGGGGUGGGGUGGUAGAGGAGAUGUAUAUUCAUUUUUCAGAUGAGAUUGGCAUUUUCAAUUCUUUGUUUUGAACUUGCUAUGUAUUCGUCAAAAAUGCAACUUUAAGCUGGCUUCUGUCAAAUAUACAAAUUCUUGAGUUGCCAUUGUCCUUGAGAUGCCUGUGUAUUCCUUUAAUAUAGGCUUGCCGUGUACCAAGCAGCAUGUGGUCCAAAAUAGGCCGUCUCAAGCGUUCAGCGAUGCCUAAGCUUACAAAAGGAAAUUCUAUAUUUGGAUCUGGAGCAAGUCCAGGGAUCAUGUCAUGCAUUGCUGGUCGGCUCUUGUGUGAUACUUAUUUGUGCUCCCGUGACCUGUUAAAAGAGGUACCUUCACUGGUAAUGGUGUCCCAAAGGUUUGUGUAAUGCUGCUAUACAUGUUUCUCACAUAUGCUAUUCUUGUUUAUCCAGGUUAGUUAUUCCUUGACCCAACUAGCAAGGACUCGGCUGAACAAAGACCGAAAGGAGAUAGCUCCACAUGAUAUUCCUGGAAUGUUCCAGACAUCAAAAUCCCUUAUUGAACUGGUAGGUUCUGAUGCUAAUUACAGUUGCUUGUUUUAAUUGCAAUAUUUAGUAAUUUAACCAGGAUGGUAUUGUUGGAAUGUCUUUCUUUUUCUUAUUUUUCCUCAGAAAAUAAUUAUGAUUCUGUGGUCAGAUGGUUUAUAUCUAUUGAAUUUGGUUUGGAUCCAACAUGGCUGGUCCAAGCACGGACAAAAUCAAUAGGCUGAAGGGUAAUGCAAAACACUCUACAUUUUUAUCAUUGACAUGAAUCCUAAUGAUACCCCGACUAAUCUGAGACAGAGAGUUGCGUUUGAAUAUAUGCAGAAGGGCUGUUCUUGCUUGAUAAUUGGUCAAUGUGUUAUGUGAUGACAGACAAUUCAUAGUUCUUGAAUAACAUUAAAAAUAGUUAGUUUUUGUUUAUAAUUUGCACAAUCAUAAGCAAAAUGGUAGGCUGUAAUCUGCGACAGAGAGUUAGUUGAGUUUGAAUAUGUACAGAAGGGCUGUACUUGCUUGAUAAUGGUCAAUGUUUUAAGUGAUGACAGACAAUCCAUAGUUAUUGAAUAACGUUAAAAAUAGUUAGUUUUCUUUAUAGUUUGCGCAAGCAUAAGCAAAAUGGUAGGUUGUAAGGUUUGUGGCUAAUUUUAACUUCAUAUUUUGUCUACUCUCUAAAGAAUUUGUAAAAUAGUAGCUUAAGCUAUAAUAACUAAAAUGUCUUAGCUUGCCAACUAAGACAACUUGCGAGUCCAUGUGAUUGUGAUAUGAGCUAUCUGGAAAUUACCACAUUGUCCAUCAGGUCAGCUCUGCCUAAGAUAUGGAAUUUUCUUAUAUGCAUCCUAAUAUAUGGUUCUUAUUGUGUUUAUUAUGCAUUCAGAUUGAAUAUGGAGAAACAGAUGCCUGGUUAUCUAUGGAACUCAUGUUUCAUUUGAGUGUUCUUCCCCUAACACGUCAGCUGACUAAUAUUAGUGGUAAUCUCUGGGGGAAAACUCUCCAGGUGAGUUUGUGAUGCUUAUUUUAUUUUAUUUUAUUUUCCUGUAGAAUUUGUACAUGACACGUUUUAUGAUAUCUAAAUUUUCUGCAAUCUACUAUUUCUUUUCAGGGUGCUAGGGCACAAAGAGUAGAGUAUCUUCUAUUGCAUGCAUUCCACGCAAAGAAAUAUAUUGUACCAGAUAAGAAUUCCUCUUAUGUAAAAGAAACAAAAAUGACAAAACGGAGAAUAAAUCAUGGUGGUGAGGAAAGAAAUGCCGAAGAGCUGGAUACUGAUGAUGCCAAUUUUGAUAAUGAUAAUCCAGACAAUGAUCGUGGAAAAGGGAAAAAAGGUCCUGCCUAUGCAGGUGGUUUGGUUUUGGAGCCCAAAAAAGGUUUAUAUGACAAAUAUGUAUUGCUUCUGGACUUCAAUAGUCUUUACCCUUCUAUCAUUCAGGUUAAGAGCAUUUUCUUUUGACCUCCUUUUUCUUCCCUUUUUUACCCAGUAUGAGCAUCGAUUCUCAACUUGAUUUUACAGGAGUAUAAUAUCUGCUUCACAACGGUUGAAAAAUCUACAGAUGGGUUAGUUCCCCGUUUACCUUCUGGCAAAAAAACUGGAGUUUUACCUGAGGUAUUAUUAUUACAAAACAUACAUAGUUUAUCCUUGUUGCUAUUGUCUUGCCAACACUUGAAAUCUAUAAACCAGGGGUAAAUUUCGAGAUCAGAAUCUGUAUCUUCCCCAUGUGGACUUUACUUGAGACAUUAUCAGAAGCUAUAGUCUUGCCAACACAUGGGAACAACAAAUAAAAUAUAUGGAGAGAAAAUUAGUUAUAGAUUUUGCAAGUCAAUUCUGGAAAUUCAGCUUGGUGAAUGAAGAUGAUAAUGAUACUAUUUUGAAUUAACAGCUAAUAUUUGAAUUUGUUUAGCCAAUAUAAUAGAUCUGAUUGUGAUAUUAUUUUCAGAAACUUGCAUGUUAACCAUUCUCAUCAUUUAAAGUGAUAUAGCUUGUUCAAGCUUUUUACGCAUUAAAUUGAGAGACAGAUGUCUGUUGGAAACAAGAUUUCUUGUGUCAUAUUUUGUUCUCUUUUUUAGCAAAACUAGAUGCAGAUAAUUCCUUUUGCUAUUAUUUGGUAGUUGCUGAAAAAUCUAGUGGAGAGGAGAAGAAUGGUUAAGUCAUGGAUGAAAAAUGCUUCUGGUCUCAAAAUCCAGCAGCUUGACAUUCAGCAACAGGCAUUGAAGCUCACUGCUAAUAGGUGUUUAUUUAUUUAUUUAAUUUAUUAGUUUAUUAUCCUUGAUAUAUUGAGUGUUGUUGGUCACUACAAUGACCGCUCUUUCUUACUUUGUUUAUCUGAUAUGGUGGUGAAGUAUGUAUGGAUGCCUUGGGUUUUCCAAUUCAAGAUUUUAUGCAAAGCCUCUUGCUGAGCUUAUAACUCUACAGGUGAGAUAUGUAUUUCUUUUGCUGAAAUUGUGGAGAAUAUCUUGCACUUUAUGGACAAAGAAACUAGAUUUGAUACCAAAUAUAUAUCUUUUUUAAGCAUUAAGCAAGUCUCAUGACUGCUGUGUAGGGGAGGGAGAUUCUACAGAGUACUGUGGAUCUUGUUCAAAAUAAUUUGAACUUAGAGGUAAUACUUCAUUUGAUGUAAUAUAUAUAGAUUUGUUUCAAAAUAAUUUGAACUUAGAGGUAAUACUUCAUUUGAUGUAAUACAUAUAGGUUUGUUAUCGUUUUACUUUAUACAGCAACUGACCUAUUUAUAUUCAUUUCUACAUUAUCCUCAGUUAAGUUAGAAUAUUUAGCUUUUGAAGAAUGUAUUGUGUUUCACAUGGCAGGUCAUAUAUGGUGAUACAGAUUCAAUAAUGAUUUAUAGUGGACUAGAUGAUAUCACAAAAGCAAAAGCUAUUGCAGGGAAAGUCAUCCAGGAGGUAGGGUCGUGGUUUUUAAUUAUAAAUGCUUAACAAAUAUAUACAUGGGGAACCUAGCACUAUAAUAUAUGAUAUUAUGGAACUUAUUUUCUCGGUGUUAUUAUUUCUGUAACCACCACAGGGCUUAACUUCUUUAUUUUGAACUUUUAGACAUUUUUGGCUUCAAUGUUAGUUUAGUCUCACAUUUUCUCAAAGCUUCAUGCAAAUUUCCAUAAUUUAUUAUUACUUUCAACAAUUUUUUGAAUUAACUCAAUAUUAACAUCAAUGUCAAUAUUCUAGAUAAUAUUUUUUUUGUUAUUUUCUGAGCUUGUUGAAAUUAUAUACGUAGUUUAUAUUGCAAAAACAGUUUUGUUGAAGCCUACCAUUGUCAUGUGUGGUAAAAGCAUAAUUUCAUUGAAUGUCCAGAACUAAUACGAGCAAGCAAAAAUUGUUGCUAUCAAUAUUAUAUUCUAUGCUGCUCUAUGCAAGCUGUAACUUCCUCUAUUUGUAUCUAGGUUAACAAGAAGUAUAGGUGUUUAGAAAUUGAUCUUGAUGGCUUAUAUAAGAGAAUGUUGCUUCUCAAGAAGAAAAAAUAUGCAGCUGUCAAAUUGCAGUUCAAGGAUGGGACACCAUAUGAGGUAUUGUUUUGAAAAUAUUUUCAUAUUUUUGGUUACCUUUCCCUUCAAGAAAGUCACUAAAGCAUUUUUAUCGGUACAGGUCAUUGAACGGAAAGGUCUUGACAUGGUUCGCCGUGACUGGAGUUUGCUGUCAAAGGAAUUGGGGGACUUCUGCCUUGCUCAAAUCUUGUCUGGGGGGUAUGUUACUCCAGUACCAACUCCUUGCCAACUCUCUCACCUGUCACCUAUCUGUCCUUCUCUCUUUCUUUCUCUGUCUCUCUUUUUCCGUACUCAUGUCGACAUUGUUCUUUCCUAGAUAUUAAGAAUUUGUUGGAAUCCCUUAAUAAUGUCUUUGGCUCCCAUGGUCACAGGUCAUGUGAGGACGUAGUAGAAUCAAUACAUAAUUCACUUAUGAAGGUAAAUUUAUGUUGCUUUUGCUAAAAUUAUUACUGUGUGUAAAAUGCUCUGGAGUGAUGAGAGGUACACAUAUGUCUGCGAGAUUGAUUCCUAGUUGUGAAGGGAUUUGGAGAUCUGAAAUAGUAAAUUUAUUUUCUUCUCUGGAAAAUGAAGUCCCCUCUUAUGUCGUGGUUCUAUAUCAGGCAAAUUGAAUUAAGUGCAUGCCGAUUCUUUUUAUUUGAUAACUUAAAUGUAUUUUUGCUUCAGAUGGUAGAUAGCUCCAUUUUGUCACUAAUGAACUCAACUGGUUGUCAACAAUUUCCCGUAUUUAACAGGUUCAGGAGGAUAUGAGAAAUGGACAAGUAGAACUAGAGAAAUAUGUCAUUACAAAAUCAUUGACUAAACCACCUGAAGCUUAUCCUGAUGCCAAAAAUCAACCUCAUGUUCUUGUGAGUAACAAAAUCAUUUAUGAGAGCUUAGUCAUAUUUAUACGAACUUUCAUCCCUUUUUUGAUAGAAGCAAUUACUUUUAACUUCUACUUUUGUUUAUGGAAUUUUCUAGGUGGCACUAAGAUUGAAGCAAAUGGGCUAUACUACGGGCUGUUCUGCAGGUGAUACUGUACCAUACAUCAUUUGCUCUGAGCAGGUACAGUACAGGAUGUAACUGUGAUUCUGUCAAAUAAUCAGUCACUAAAAUAAAAGCAUAAAUGUUUUUCUACAUUUAACAUUCUUCUACUCUUUGACCCCUUGCUUGAACAGGAGGCUUCCUCAGGAAGUAUGACAGGAAUUGCGCAGCGUGCAAGACAUCCUGAUGAACUGAAAAAAGAUGAUGGGAAAUGGAUGAUUGACAUAGAUUACUACUUAUCACAACAAAUUCAUCCUGUGGUAUCUCGCCUAUGCGCUUCAAUUCAAGGCACAAGCCCAGAGCGUUUGGCUGAUUGUUUGGGCCUUGACUCAUCCAAGGUAAAUGCGCCCUUUUGGGAUUGAUAUACUAACAGCUGUUGUUUAAGCAUAAUCUUACAUGGUUUAAUGCUUUUUCAGUUCAAAAAUAAAUCAAGUGAAUCAAUUAGCAAUGACCCUUCAAGCUCACUUUUGUUUGCUGUCAAUGACGAGGAGAGGUAAUUAUUUCUUACGCCCAAAUAUUUCAUAAUUGCGUCUCUAGUAUCUUUCAUGCUUAACUUCAUUCAAAUGGUGUAGCUUCUAUUAUUGUAUGAAAUACAUGUUUCAAAGAACUUGUUAUCAGAUUUUGAAAAUCAUCGUAUUUUGUAUCUGUAAUACAUCUUAAAGCAUAGUAAGGAAAAUGUCUUUUUCACAUCCAUUUUCCCACUUUCUUUUUUCUUUUGAACUGCAGAUAUCGGAGUUGUGAGCCAUUAAUCUUGUCAUGUCCCAGCUGCUCUAAUACUUUUGAAUGUCCUGCCAUCUUCAGUUCCAUUGGUCUGAUAAUCGGUGAAAAGCCAAUAAAACCACGAGUAAAGGAAUCUAUGUCUAAUUUCUGGCGCACAAUGCGUUGUCCUAGAUGCCCAGAAGAGGGGGAUAUGGGUAUAAUAUCUUCUGCAAUAAUAGCAAACCAGGUGAUCCAUUGAAUUCUACAUCGUUCGAUGAAGUUUUUCAUAAGCGAAUUUCUGCAACAUCAAAACAGAUCCAUGUUUUAUUUUAUUUUAUUUUGUUGAGAGUUUUGUGAGUGAUCCUGUCUGUCUAUUUCAGGUCAAAAGGCAAGUCGAGGGAUUUCUUUCAGUGUACUAUAAGGGCUUAAUGAUGGUAAUAUAAUAAUUGCAAAAAUAUUGAGCUACUUGGUUGUAAUUGGCUCUCAUUACCAAUUUCCCUUGGUUUCAGUGCGAUGAUGAAACUUGCAAAUAUACCACACGCAGUCUCAACUUGCGGCUUGUUGGUGAUGCCGAAAAAGGAACUGUUUGCGCAAAUUAUCCUCGCUGCAAUGGUCGUCUCGUAAGAAAGGUACCCGUCACAUACUCUAACCCUAUAUAUUAUACAUAUUAGAUAUAUAUCUUUGGCUUACGCAGAAAAAGUAACUUGUAGGUCAGCGCUUUUAAUUUACCCCAGAGAUAGUUCUUAUGUUUAAUAUAAAUAACGGUCAAAUGGUAAAAAUUUUAAUUAUUUCUCUAUAUUCUCAAAAUAAUUUAUAUUUGUGUCCAAUAGAACUGUCACUCAUAUUUUUGGAUAGACAAACAAUUUAUUGAAAUUAUAUAGCCCUAAACGAUGUAAAAGCACAUGGUAUUAUUUUUGAAAUUUUUUAAAAUCUUUUUAUGUACAUUUUUUUUUUAAGUUACUGAUAAAUUUUUAUCAUACGUUAAUUUCCUACAGUACAAAGAAGCAGAUCUGUACAAGCAGCUUUCAUAUUUCUGCUAUCUAUUGGACACUGUAUAUUGCAUCGAAAAGGUUAUUUCCUUUCUGAACGUGCCAUUUUUGAUCUUGAACUUGGCAGAGCCUAAUGCCCGUUAUAUUAGUUUUUGUACAUCGUGAAUCAUGUUUAUGAUCAUCUGGUGCAGAUGGACGCUAACACAAGAAUACCACUAGAGAAAGAGUUGAGCAAAAUUCGACCAAUUGUGGAUUUGGCAUUAUCAACAGUUAAAAAGAUUAGGGAUCGGUGUGCUUAUGGAUGGGUACAGUUGAACGACCUAGCUGUCACAGUUUGAGUUGCUAAAUAAUGUAAAUAUUAACUGUCAAAAUUUUGCACAAAUGUAGAGUAUUUGUUGAUUCCUUGUAUGACAAUAAGUCCAUUGUAAUAGCAAAACAACUUUAAUCAAUCACUUUGGGCAUAUUGUCUAUGCCCUAAAUGAUGUUCCAAGCAUCAGUAUUAUAAAUAUAAUGCAUAUUGUCUUAUACGAUAGAAGCACUAUUAAAAGCAAUUAGGUGGUAAUUCCCUCACAAAUAUGUACAAUAUUUUGAAACAUUGCAAAAUGAAUUUUUUGAAUUUUGUGUUAAAGAGGUGCAAUCCAGCCAAGCUCAAGGUUCAUAAUUCAACUGGAGCUAAACAAAUUUUACUUUUCGCAAUUGAACUUAACACAAGUAGAAACUAGAACUCGUUUAACAUCAAAUUGAAUGCAAAUAUUUUGCGACUUGUUUAAACUUCUUGUAUGGUUCUCUCAAGAGUUUAUAUUAAAUCAUUAUUCUUCGAAUCAUUAAAAAGAAUACUACACAUUCAUCUCAAUUGAAAUUAGUCAUAAAAAAUCAUCAGUUGCUGAAAUUAUUCCCAUUGCAUUCAAUCGAAUUCAGACUCUGAAUAUUAUCAAGAACUUAGUACUCUCACAAGAUGCAAAAUGGAACAUAGUGUUUGGACCAAAGCCAAAAACGAUUAUUUUUAUUGAUUAUUCAGGAAACAAAUUGUUUCUCCGAGCCAAAAAGAGGUACAGGCUAAUGUAAAGGACUUAUCUAUUUGUUGAUUGUUGACUACUUGAAGAAGCUACCCCAACUAUUUUGGAAUCAUUACUUUACCUGCAUUUUGUACAAUGCUUCAGGAAAAUACAUAUCACCCACCUUUACUGCAAUUCCCCAACAGGCGCCUCAUUGAGCCAUAGAAAAUGAAUGAAGUCGUACAAUUUCGCACUUACACUCACCUGCUUGCCAUUAGGGGAAACAAUUGUUUAGUUGCAAUCAUCAUAAUUCAAAGAUGAACACGUUUGUUAGUCUCAAUUCUUGCUGUUUAUUUUGUAGGAAAUUAGCAGAUAAGCAGAAAUUCUCGAAGAAAAAUGAGGAAGAGAGAAGAGCAGAAGCCUCAGUAGACAAAAGAAGUAAGAAGCAGAAGGGGGAGAGGAAAUUUAGAAGAGAAAAUAUUGACUUGUAAUUGUAAUAUCUCUGUUGUAAUUCAAUAGCGCUCCAAACACAGACUAUACUUUUCGAAUAUUUUGCCAGCUCAAUACUUGUUGUAAACUAACUAUGUAACUAUUGAAACUGAUUUUUAUUUGAUUAACAAUUAAAAAAUAGAACUGCACCAUAAUUCUCACUUUAGACAGCAGCAUUUCCUUCAACAACAAUAUUUCGAGUAUCAACAUUCACAGCAGUAAUAUUUCCACACAACAAGGUGUUGGGCAAAAGAGAGAUGUAGUACCUUGUAUGGUGUUGGGUUCAGCCUUCUCAUAUGAUCAGGCCGCAUUUGCUCAAGCUGCUUGAUGCAUCGGUCCCUAAUGUCCUUAAGAGGAGGUAGCUCUUCUCUUGCUUUACCUUCAAGAAACACAAGCACUGCAUGAGAUACUGCAGACUAACUAUAGCCUUGUCAAAGUGCAUUGACAAAUGCUGGUGAGCCUUUGUUUAGGUUAACGUUGAUGCAUGAGAUAAUUCGAGACUCGAAACUGCUAAAGUAGAUAUCUAAAGUAUCAUGCAAAACAUCUAGGAGACAAUAGCGUCAGGUCAUGUGAACGUGUUUGUUUGAAGGUGCAAUUUAACACAAUUGGUCAAGUAGUUGUUAUUCCCACAUUCUUUUUGUUUCCCUUUCAGUAUGUCACGAAGACCUUACCUAAGCUCCCAGGCCAAUAACACUUCAGAAGCUCCUCCACCUUCUGUGGGACCACAUAUGCCCUCUUGGAUUCAUUAAAGGGAUGGCGACAUAAUAUCCGUUCUCCCACCUGAAAGUUCAGAUAAAAUGAGGCCUCACUUGCAAUUUCAAUAUAGUUAUGACAAGGAUGGAGCGAACAAUGGAAACUGUUAUUGUGUUCUUGUUUCAACUCUUCUCAACACCCAUCCGAAUUAAAACCAUUCUCCAAUUUAAAUCAAUGAUUUUGGAAGUUGACAUUUAUACUUGCUCAGAGGAAAGUUCUUUAAUAAAUUUCUGUAUAGCAUAUUCUUAAACUAUACACACAACGACAUUUUCACCAAGCACUGCAACAAAAGAUAAACAUCAACAAAUUUAUUUAUUGAUGAAACCACCUUCGGAGAUGGUUCAUUUUCCCCAGUCAUUAUGUCCACCAGAGGGUAGCCUUCCUUGCCAUACAACCGAUAACUCCGUUUUUUACAAGGUAUGGAGACCUAGUGCACAUAACAAGGGAAAACAUUAGAAAUUUUAUAAACAAAAAUAAAGUUGCUAUAAAUUUCUUGGAACAAUGUUCAACCUUAGAAACAUCUUCAGAAAGUUUUAUGCGAGGCUGAUUGUUUAUCUCAACAAGCUUGAAGACACAGCCCAAAGCAGCUUGAGCAAAACAAGUGACUAGGUUGGUGCCUACUCCAAAUGCAUCUACUUCAUGACCCUGUGAAGGAAAUCCAUCUAAUUAAUAUACUUAAGUUCAUAACUCAUGUUUUCUUUUUCUUUUUUCUCAUUGCAACUGAAGUUCCAACAUCAAAUAAAGCAAAAAUUGCAAGUCUAUCAUGAUGUUAAUAACAAAUCUGAUUAGAAAGGCAUACAAUUUGAUCGACAUCUUUGUCACUUCAUACAAAAAGCUUGUACCCAUGCUGCUAAUCAGUAAAGCAAAUAAACACAGUUCUAGCUACACUGAGAAUAGGUACAUUUUUUCUAAUACUUUCAGACAAACAGAUCAGAAAUUUGACAUAUUAUUUCCUAUGAGAUUGCAAACAGCAAAAGCUAAAAAAAAAAAAAAGUGACCUGUUAGUUUGUACACAUCCUUCCAAGUAUGAAGGAUUUUGCAUUUAAAAAUAGGCUUAGAUGAUGUCCAUUACAAAAGGAUGAUUGCAAGACAUGUUGAGGUGAUUGACCUGAUAGUGCUUCCAAAUAAUCAAUAGCAACUACCUUUUGGAUAUUAGGAGCCAUAAGGCCUAAGAAACUAUAUAAUGUGGUUUUAAGUUCUUUUACAUUCAAUUUAUCCAUUGAGGUCGAAUAAAUAAUUUUCUACAAUCAUGAAGCAUCAAAUGAACUCCAACUCCCUCACUUGUUCUGUCAAAUGUAUCUUUUAUCUAAUUUCUGAGUUAAAUAAAGUCAGAUUGAAAUGUUUGGUGAUAAGCAUCUUUACUUAGAAUGUUGUUGGAUAGUCAGAAAAACCAAAAAGCAGAAAAUAUAUACUUAUUGCUUGGAAGCACAUAUUGUAUGCAUGAGUGAACACAAGACAGCAUAAAUCUCAAAAGUAGAACCCACUGUAGUAUUUGCCGUAAUUCAUAAAUGCUCUGAUUCAGUUCAAAUGCAGCAAAUAAAUUAUGCUUGAAUGUAUCUUCAUGUUAGAAUGAUUACCUGUUUGUUUAAAGCAUCUAGAGUUUCCUCAUUGAGAUCAUUACUAGCAGUAAUACUCAUCUUUCCAAAACCAGGCACUCCAAAUUCCUUCUCAAUGGCACGAAAGAACUUCCGGGCCUCACCUGACAAAUAUGCUAGAUCACCAGAGUCCAGCCUAAUGCCCAUUGCUUUAUAGCUGCAUAAAACACCAUCUAAACUUACUAAUGAAAACUUAGUACAAUUAAAUGCUUAAUCACAAGGACAAGAUCAGUGAUUGACACAAUUGAGAUGUGAUGAAGACAAAAGAAAGAUAUUUGAAUCUCUAACUAAUGUAACAACAGGGAACAUAUGAAUUAUAUGUUCCAUAUGGAAUUCGACAUGCAUAUGGAAGGUUUUCAAGAUGAAAACAUUAACAAAAGCAGAUCAUAUUAACAAAAUAUGCAAAGUGAUGCAUCGCAAGCUUAAUACAACAAUAUUUUUAACACUUACGAUUGACAAAUAGUUACAGUACACUUAAUGUUUAUCCAUAGAUAUAUGAAUAUUAUCAUCAACUUCAACACUACUAUGAUUCAGCCAGACAACAACUGAAUAAUUAUUACAUUAAAGUAAGAGGCCAAGAGCACCAAGAGAGAUGCAACUGCUCAAGUCAAAAUCAACAAGGUUAUGAAAUUGUUCAGCCCCAUAAUCAUAUAAGAAAGAAACAACUACUCAGAAAUUAGCAACAAACAGUAAUAACUUACACACUUACCCCAGAUCAUUGAGGGCUAGAGCAACAGCACAAAAGUUGGGAAUUCCACUCCUCAUAACCUAGCAAAAUAGACAAAUAGUGUGCACAUCAUGGUAACAGCUAUAAGAACUGUGCUUAAUUAAAGAAAGCAGCUGACCUAAAUUAACAAAAAAAAUUGAAACAAGCAACCUAGUACAUGUACAUGGAGGGGAAGAGAGAAGGCAAUACACAAUGUACAAUGACAGUGCAAGAAACUGAAGUAGCAUACAAGCAUUUUGAUAGUGUUAAUUUCAUAAGAAAUGCCAACUUUACAAUUUAGUGCAAAUUACUUAAAAAACAAAUAAACACUUUCCAUUUCUCAUUGUUGGUUUUCUGAAAAUGCCUCUUUUUUUGUCACCACAUCCAUAGUCUUAAAACAGAAGCAUCAAAAAUCAUAAAUUGAAAAUAACUUCUUUGAUUCAACACCCUCAUCAGAUAAAAAGUAUUCAAAAGAACAAUUAUUUGUAUUUAUUAUUGAAAUUUUGUAUCAACAAUCACCCAUUGUCUGUGGUUCAAAUACAGCCAAAGCAAUUACUGCAAUCUCACUUAAAAUGAAUUCCAGAAGUUACAAUCUCACUUGGAACAUAGAUUACUGCCCAUUGAAGGAAACAGCCAGUACACUUGAGGUUUAAGAAAUCUACUUGGUAUAAAGAAGAUGCAAAUAUAGACGUUUCAGAUAUAUUGAUAAAAAAAGAAAAAAACAGUUACAAAAAAAUAGUGUGGGAACAAGAGAUUUGCAUGGGAGAAUGGAGACCUGGAUAAAGAUUUUUUCUUAGAGGAGUCCUGUGUAUAGAAGUAGAGAUUGAUGAGGUGCACUGGAAGAAAAGAUAAAGACAAGAGAGAAGAGAAGAACACAGAGAGUUUGACUUUAAGAGAAACAGUGGGUCCAACUCACUCUAAAUUGUAAGCAAAAUAAGUAGACACAAAAAUGCGGUUUCUUGAAUUCGCUGUGGUGUUGUUUAAAUAAGAUGGCAAAAGGCAUGAGGAAAAGAAGACAAAAUGGGACAACCUCAAAUGUGUUUUAAGUUUUUAUUUUACUAAAAAAAAUUGAAACAACUGCAUUCCCAAAUGUGCCAUUAAUCUUUCAUUUUCACUUUAUUGUUUUGAGCAUUUAAACCUAAAUGUAUCAAAAUCAAGUAUUCAGCUAAUAAACUGAGAACCUUAAGAGUGAAAUAAGCUUAUUUGUGUAUAUGUGCGCACAUGCGUGCAUGUGUAAGAGAGAGAAAGAGAGAGAGAGAAUUCGCAUCAAAUUAAAAGUUAAGCUUAACCUUCAGCAUUAUAUUAAAAACAAUUGAGUAUCAAUUCAUCAACUACCUAUUAACUAAUGAUGAAAGCAAAGCACAGAAAAAAGGCGUAUUAUCUAGGAAGCAUAAACAGAAAGUUAGGUGAAGAGGUCAAUACACGCAAUGAAGAUAAUAUGCUAUACGAGAAGAGGAUUCACUCACAUCGUAUGUAUCUACAAGAGCAAGAAAAUUAUUUGGGAAUGCCAGGGCAUAUGAGGUGAAAGCUGCUAGCUCGCUUUGAUUUGUCUCACCAAAAAUGCCACGAAAUGCACUUGACCACUACAUAUGAUGUCCAAUGUUAACAAAUUGAAAGAUAGAGCAAAUAGAAGGGCUAAAAAAAGAAAAAUGAUAAAGAAAUGAAGCUUGACAUUUUUACUGUGAGGAUUAUGCACAUAAUUAUCUAGUAAUAAACAUAUGGAAACAUCUGCAAAUAGUCAAUGAUGAAAAAUUGACUAGGUGUUUUAACGCAAACAAUAUCUUUUCUGAACAUUAAUCAAACCUGUAAUAUCUUUCUUUUGUCUUUCUAUACAAGAAGAGCCAAACAUGAGCUACCCCGAGAAAUUGUCUAUGUUUUAUGCAACAGUACCAUUAGUCCAAUACCAUCACCAAUUGUUACUAUCUGAGAUAAACUUGCUAAUUUAUUUUUAAAAGAAUUCCAAGCCACAUAUGACCUCAUUCACAGCUCCCAUGCCAUGCCAUGCAUUACAUCAAGAGUUAUACAGGGUGCAAACAACUAAAGGAAAUUAAAAUCAAGGCCAGAAGCACGAGACUUUGACAUUUUUCACCCAAAAAAACCAACCAUUGCAGUGCAUGAUUGUCAAUUUUAGUCAUAAGAGAGACGCACAGGGUAAAUAAAUUGAACAGGGCCCAUUGAUAUUCGCAGUGAAAACAUUUUUAACUAAAAGUAACGAGUUAAACCUGGCUAAAAAGAGAAAAUGUUGAACAUUGUAAAAGAAGGGCAAAGCAUAACACCUGAAUUUUGUUCAACCAUGUCUGAACCAAACUGACAAAAUCCUCGCAGCUACUUGAGCCAUCAGAACUUGGGAGUGAUUUGUCUACAAUCUCAUCAAGGCUCUGCAAGUAAGGGGAUAAAUCAGGUAAAACAGUAACCAAAGACAAAGUAAAGAAAUAAUAUCACAACCUAUCAAAUAUCAGCAUAUAAACUUUAUGUUCAUAUAGACAUGACAGCUUAUUUUAGAUGCCUGGUAACACUAGUGUAAAUAUAUUGUAGACUUCUAGUACAAAUGUAAGAAUGAUAGAAUGUCAAUAUCAAAUCUAACUAAACACCCCAAAUGAAAAGAAACAAGAAUAAUGACCAUACUGCUCACAAGAACAUGUAACUGCAAAGGUUGGUUAUUUGAGAGGCACAAAAACAAAAGGUCUAAUAAAACCAAGCUUCCAGAAGCUAUAACUAGAGGGAUAAAAAUUCUAUGCUACUUUAAGCACAUCCAUAACAAAAUACAUCAUAAACUAAAAUGCUACUUCAAAGUGCAUAUAAAUAGAUGCGCAUCAUUCUCAAUAUAAAUGCACAUUGAAAUUACUGAUAAUGACAACAAAGAAACACAUCUUAAGCUGCUUGUCAAGAGUACCAACCAUAUAUGAGCUAACAAAAGCAUGGGAAUGUGUUCCACGAAGAGGUAUCCCAAACAACCUGCCAGCUGCAACAUUACUGUCAAAAACACAAAAAAUUUAGUGUUAGACGUAUAAAAAAUUAGUCCAAAUGAAGAACUUGAAGAAUUAAUAGACGAUAGUUAAAGUUCAAAUAAUCUCCAAAUCAACCUAUAAGCCAGCAUUGGAGUCUUUGUUUUAACUUGCUCUAUCGAUUCUAAAAUCAUGAUGAGACAAAUGAAACUGAUGAUUCAAGAAUGAUGACUCUUCUUUUCUUUUGUAUAGGAGUUAACUGAGUAAAACAAAAGAGCAUCUGAGGAUUGCCAAUCUAUGUACAAAAAGAUUAUUAAGGAUAUAAGAUAACUCCUAUCUAAAAACGAUACCAAAUUUUACAUCCAAAAAAGAAAAGCAAUUCUUAAUCUGGUUUAUAAUGAGAAAAUCUAUGGGACGUGAAACUUUGAUGGGCCUUCAGAUGGUAAAUUUUCAUCACCAAAUGAAUUGUCACUUCGAAAUAUCAAUACUGAAAAUUAUUCAUGUGAUAAUUUCUAUGCAGUUUAUCCCUUUCCUUUUCAUCUUUUGGAACAGUAUAUACCUUGGCUUUGAGAAGCAAAAACUCAGACUGACAUUUAUCCCCCCCAAAUGAGGCCUCCUAUCACCUUAGACAUCUAGGAUAAAUCAUGUUGAAGAUAUUUAAAUACUCAAUUUUAAUUAGAAACUAAAGAAUGUUAAUGUAUUAUUAGAUACUUUGAUUAAAUUUAUUCCCUAAGCAUUUUAUGAUUACACCCGGAUUCAACAUAUGGCUAGAUACUAAGCAUCAUCAUAUGGAUUUGACGGAAUUACCUUGUUGCAUAAUGCUACUACAAGACUCCAAGACUCCAUCUAAUGGAAGUAAUUACUAUCAACAUAUACUGCAAGAUAAUUUCAACUAGAAAUUACCUUGUCGCAUCAAAUCCUCCAAGAUAGCUGUACUUUGAUGCCCCUACUCCACCAUCAGGACCCUAUAUGUAAAAUAAGGGAAUGUUUUCAUACACAGCACUUGGUUUGACACUUCAUGAAUAAUAAGUAAAAGAAAUUAACAUAACAAUUGAAAACCUGAGCCCGUCGGAGCCCAAACUCUAGUAGAAUUUUUGAUUUUCCAGCAACAAAUCGAUGCCUUGCUGCAUUUGUUGCCACUAAUGAUGCAUAAUUAACAAGAUUCAGUAAUGGAGUUUCCAGCAAUUGAACCACCUAAAAAAAAAAGAAAUACAACUAUUAAAAUCUACAACUUAAAAAUACUCUAUCAUAAUAUAAACAUAAUUCAAAUAAAACCAGAAUGGCAAACCUCCAUUUUCUCCUUGGCAAAGAGAAAAUUUACCAUUUGACUAUAUCCAUAUUUUUUUUUUCAUUCUUGAUAUACAAUGUUUGGAUUGUAUUUGUUUUGUCAACUGCUAUGUUAGAUAUUUUUCCUGAAGCAAUUCUUCUUCUGAAAAUCCUAGCUUUUCUUAUUAGGAUUGCAAAUCAAAAGAUAUUGUAUAAACUUAUAUAAAAUUGAAUAUAAUUGAUAAUAAAUUUAAAUGUUUACUUUUAUCCAAAAUGCCCACAGUUUUUGUGUUUUUAACAUUGAAAGCUUCUGUAUAUAAAUGAAUAUCAUUUUGGUUUUUAAUAUUGAAAGAAGUGGCUUUUAAAAUACCUAACAAAUUGAUUUGGAUUACAGGCAUGGUUUUUGUUUUUUUUUUUUUGUUUUUUUUUUNNNNNNNNNNNNNNNNNNNNNNNNNNNNNNNNNNNNNNNNNNNNNNNNNNNNNNNNNNNNNNNNNNNNNNNNNNNNNNNNNNNNNNNNNNNNNNNNNNNNNNNNNNNNNNNNNNNNNNNNNNNNNNNNNNNNNNNNNNNNNNNNNNNNNNNNNNNNNNNNNNNNNNNNNNNNNNNNNNNNNNNNNNNNNNNNNNNNNNNNNNNNNNNNNNNNNNNNNNNNNNNNNNNNNNNNNNNNNNNNNNNNNNNNNNNNNNNNNNNNNNNNNNNNNNNNNNNNNNNNNNNNNNNNNNNNNNNNNNNNNNNNNNNNNNNNNNNNNNNNNNNNNNNNNNNNNNNNNNNNNNNNNNNNNNNNNNNNNNNNNNNNNNNNNNNNNNNNNNNNNNNNNNNNNNNNNNNNNNNNNNNNNNNNNNNNNNNNNNNNNNNNNNNNNNNNNNNNNNNNNNNNNNNNNNNNNNNNNNNNNNNNNNNNNNNNNNNNNNNNNNNNNNNNNNNNNNNNNNNNNNNNNNNNNNNNNNNNNNNNNNNNNNNNNNNNNNNNNNNNNNNNNNNNNNNNNNNNNNNNNNNNNNNNNNNNNNNNNNNNNNNNNNNNNNNNNNNNNNNNNNNNNNNNNNNNNNNNNNNNNNNNNNNNNNNNNNNNNNNNNNNNNNNNNNNNNNNNNNNNNNNNNNNNNNNNNNNNNNNNNNNNNGGGGGGGAGGGGAGAGGGGAGAGGGUUGUUUACAGACAGAGAGAGAGAGCAAAAAUACUAUUGUUACUCACAGCAAUUGGCCCUUCAAUUCUUAGCAAGGGAACCUUUGGGAAUACAACUGAGCCCUCUGCAAUAGCAUACAAUUCAACUUCGGAGCAGUCAAGUCCUCUAAGAUAGUUGCAGAAGCCAUCCUAUGAUUAACAAUGAACACUACUUAGACAACAGCUACUUAUCUGUCAGUAGAAAUUUGUACAUAAAACAUAAAACUAAACAGCAUGGCAUCAUCCAAAAACACAUUUUCAACAAUUACUAGGAAGCAUUAUCUCUCAUCAGAGCAACAAGAAAUACCAAAGAGCUUAUCCAGUUUAGAGGGGGGAAAAAAAGUUAGUGCCUCUUAUAUGUAGGCUUUUUUAUCCUUCCAAAUUUCCCUCUCAAUUAGUACUAGGCAGCCAUACAGCUCACAGAUAGAAGAUACCUAAGUGGCAAACCCAUAAACAUGUGCAAGUUAAAACUAUCUAUUUUAACUCAUGCAUCUUAAAAUAACCAUUCUGAACUUAAUUACUGGUUCCAUUAUGCUAGCAACAUUUAUGACAAUUAAGUUGAGAAUGCAUAAAUUUCAAUGUCAAAAUAUUCAAAAACAUUAGUUAACACAACAUGGAGCACGUAGCAAAUAAUGAGUAUCAAAAAAAGGUGAAAAAAAAUCAAUUAUCACAUUGACUGUUAAGAAUAUAAAUACUUGAAACUACAAGUAAGCACUAAGGAAUAUGUGUGAUAAAAAUAUCUAUUGGCAUAAUUAAGCCUCAGUUCAUAUUCUAAGUUUAAAACGUGUAUAUAUAACAGAACACUAACUACCAUUGCUAAAAAUGAGAAAUAGUAGGUAUUUCUCUUGAGAUUUAAACAUCAGAUUGAAAGUUCCAUUGAAAACACAAAUUCCAGACAAUGUGACAGACUACAAAGGAUGAAAUGAGAUCAUUUACCUCGCAAGAACCAGGCAAACUUUGACGAACAAAAGCAAUCUCAUCCUCGGAGAAUUUGAAAUUAGCAACGAACCUUAUGCAUUCAUCUAAUCCAGCAAAAAUAGUAUAUUCACCACCAAACGGAUUCUUCCGAAAAUACAAAUCAAACCUGACUCAAAUUUUCAAAUAUUAGCUUCAGAAUAUGAAAUCCAAACUAACCGUUUGUCAAUCGGAAAAUAUUGCAUGAUUAAAAAUAAUUAACAGCUGAACCGAGUUUGCACAUUUUCAUUAUCGAUUGUCCUUAUGGAUUUUCUCAGAAACCAAAAGGAGGUAAAAAGCAACAAAAACAAAUAAAUAAACACUCACACAGCUCGCUCUUGAUGCUUUCCGGCUUUCCAGUAAGCGUAAGCCAUUGUAAACUGAUAGAGAUCCGUUAACAAAGGCGUAACCAUGGGGUUGGUGGGGCCGUCCGGUAUCCGAGCGGAGUCGAACCUGGAGCGGUCUCCAUUAGGACAAUUAGCAUUCACCUCCAUAUCUAAAUAACCUUUAGGGCUCUUGUUGUGAUUUUUGCUUCUCUUAUUUGCUUCAGCAACACAUGUAUAUAUAGAGCAAAACAGAGUCUCAAAAGCUAAACAACGCGAGCGUGACGAAGAAGGCAGAGAGAAGACAUACUAAUAGAAGAGGGAAGCUUCUUUGGCUAAGAAAGACCGUUCAAAACGAAGGCGUUUUUUUUCUAUGGAAUAGAAUUGGUUACAGAAUAAACUUUGACAGAGCGACACACAAAAACGGGAAUCGGAAAAGCAGAUGGAAAUAUUUCCGCUUAGCUUUUGCCAAAUCUAUUAUCCGAGGUCACACACUCUCUCGCCACUCCAGGACGGCAUAUUACUAGUAAUUUAUUUUAUAUAUAUAUAUAUAUAUAUAUAUAUAAAAUAAAUUACUAGUAAUAUGCCGUCCUGGAGUGGCGAGAGAGUGUGUGACCUCGGAUAAUAGAUUUGGCAAAAGCUAAGCGGAAAUAUUUCCAUCUGCUUUUCCGAUUCCCGUUUUUGUGUGUCGCUCUGUCAAAGUUUAUUCUGUAACCAAUUCUAUUCCAUAGAAAAAAAACGCCUUCGUUUUGAACGGUCUUUCUUAGCCAAAGAAGCUUCCCUCUUCUAUUAGUAUGUCUUCUCUCUGCCUUCUUCGUCACGCUCGCGUUGUUUAGCUUUUGAGACUCUGUUUUGCUCUAUAUAUACAUGUGUUGCUGAAGCAAAUAAGAGAAGCAAAAAUCACAACAAGAGCCCUAAAGGUUAUUUAGAUAUGGAGGUGAAUGCUAAUUGUCCUAAUGGAGACCGCUCCAGGUUCGACUCCGCUCGGAUACCGGACGGCCCCACCAACCCCAUGGUUACGCCUUUGUUAACGGAUCUCUAUCAGUUUACAAUGGCUUACGCUUACUGGAAAGCCGGAAAGCAUCAAGAGCGAGCUGUGUGAGUGUUUAUUUAUUUGUUUUUGUUGCUUUUUACCUCCUUUUGGUUUCUGAGAAAAUCCAUAAGGACAAUCGAUAAUGAAAAUGUGCAAACUCGGUUCAGCUGUUAAUUAUUUUUAAUCAUGCAAUAUUUUCCGAUUGACAAACGGUUAGUUUGGAUUUCAUAUUCUGAAGCUAAUAUUUGAAAAUUUGAGUCAGGUUUGAUUUGUAUUUUCGGAAGAAUCCGUUUGGUGGUGAAUAUACUAUUUUUGCUGGAUUAGAUGAAUGCAUAAGGUUCGUUGCUAAUUUCAAAUUCUCCGAAUUUAUAAUAUAAAUAUUAUACAUUUUUAUAUUAUUAAAAACUUGUAAAUAACAACAUAUGUUACUAUAAAAAUAGAAAAUUUUAAAUUGAUGAUUUAUUGUUCAUUUAUAUUGAAAAUAUAUUAAAUUUGUAUGCAUAAUCUGAUUGAUAAUGUAUAUCUUGUACAUGUCUUUAUUUGUUUCAUUUGAGUAAAUUAAGUAUCCCACAGGUGUUAUGCUCCAUUACCAACAAAUUAAUGUUUAUAUGCAUGAAAACUAAUGUCUUCAAUUAAUAUUGUUUACUUACAUGAAUUACAUAAUAAUCCAAAUUAGUCAUAAUUAAAUAUGAAUUAUGAUUAUAAUAAAGAAAUAAAUCUAAUAAAAAAUUAAAUUAAACUAAAUUAAUUGCAUUACAUAUAAUUGAAAUAAAAAGAAAGAAGAAGAAGGGUGUUAUAAGGGGCAUUAGAAAUUGGAAUUAGAAAAUAAUAACAACAAUUAAUAUACAUGUAAAAAUUUUGUUUUUUAAAGGGGAAAAAAAAGAAGAGGACUGACUAUAAGGGCUUAUUACAAAGGGAUAAGUAUCAACCACAUAACUUAAAUCGUCAGUAAAUGGAAAUAACAAAUAACAAUAUAUAACAAUUGUACGUGGAAAUAAAAUAUAAUUACAGAUAAGCAGCUCCCUAAGCUUCAUAAAGUUUUUUUUUUUAUUAAUUAGUAAACAUAAUUAUGGAGAGUAUAUAUUUUUUUGGUAUGUACACAUUAUUUUAUUGUGAUAAAAUCUUUUUAAUAUAGAAUAAAAUUCACUAUACGCUCUGAGGUAUAUGAGUCGUGUCAUGUAUCAAACUAACUAUGAAAAGUACAAUAACUUUUUGCGGUUUCCAAAUGUGAAAUAUGCCAGAUCACCGCGGCCAACUUUAGCUGCAAUCAAGUUUUGAAUCCGGUUAAUAUCAAUUCAAAUGGAACUUGGUUACCUUAAUUUCCUUUUUUUUAAUAAACCAACGAACUUUUUAACACAUUUGCUUUUGCUAUUAACUGAGUCUAUUCAAUUGGACCACGAAAUGAACUUAGGAUUACCCUAUUUUUAGUAGUAAUCCAAACAUUAACUUAAAGAUUUGGUCUAUUUUGCUAUUGAACGAAUCAACUGGGCCACGAAAAAAUGCAUUAAAUGUGUACUUCUACGACAAGAACAGAAGUACUGAGCUGAAUUGAACAUUAUACCGUCCUAUGGUCUAUGAAGAUAUUAGAUAUAGGCUAAGUGACAAAGUUAAACAUGGACUGUCACAAAUGUCCAAGAGGCAAACCUUCAUUGACUGAUCUUUUUAUGGCACAAUUGUCUCGUAACAAGUCUAAUUUUGCCGGUAUGUAUUAGAAUUUUACGAAGGAUCCAAAGUUCAGUGACUCAUUUUCUGCUUUUAAAAUAGCCUGUCAAACGUUUUUUUUCUUCUAGUCUUAUUUUAAUCACCAGAUUAGAAAUGACAAUGAAUACUUGUUGUUUUGUUUUCUUUGAGAACUAGCGGUCACCAUUGGAAACAGCAAUAGUGACAAGGUCUUUGCUUACUUUUGACAUUAGAAAUUGGAUUCUUUAAGUGGAAAGAAAACCGUGCAGAACGACAAACCGUUUGCCCAUUUGACACGAAACUUUCAGUUUUAACGUGUUCUUCAAGACCCUUGAAUGUGCACAGAGGAAAUUAACAGUCAAAGAUGGAAUUUUUACUUUGCAGUCACCUCUGGAUUGUGGAUAUGCAAACAGAGUGAAAGAAAAGGUAAAGAUUAAAGGAAUAUUGAAUUCUUAGUUCUUACCACAUGUUUUGACUAUUGACAUUGAACAAUGACUCGGAAUAUAACAACAGAAGGACAAAGUCUGUUAAAAAAUUUUUUUAGAAAAUGGGAAAACCAGUGCAUUAAUAUUUUUCCUUUUUCCCAGUUUUUGUUCUGUUAAAAUUGAAGUUUGAGUUGCAGGAUUCGUAAACAUAUUCGAGUGUAACUAGCAAGAGAAUAUAAUUCAAUGUUUAUAGAUAUGAAAAUAAUUUACCUAAGGCUGCAGCCUGUGUUAGGAUUCAAUUACAUUGCUUUUAUUCAUGUGAACAACUUUGGCAUAUCUAACAACUAUGACAGUUAGUUUUCUUCCAAGUGAGAAUCACCUAAUGCAUCGAAGGUACGAGUGCUGCUCACCGAAGAUGGAUGCAUGUCCAAAAGGCCAGUUUCUUGAUUGACCCCAAUAGCAACGUCAAAACAUAAGUUGGAGGGCAUUGUGAAGUCAGUUCGAGGAUUUUCAUUUCAAAUAUUUCCUCUUUCUAUCUUAAUUUCAUCACAGGAAACACUUCCCCCUCUUCCUGUCCUGGUAAAAAGGACAUAACAACAUAAAUUAAGGCACGACUCCAUAUAUACACAUGUAUAUGCUAAAGAAAAAAAAGUGAAACUAUUAAACUACAACUACCCUUGCAAAUUUGGUGAAAUUAAUAGAUUAUUUUCCACAUUCUUUAAGAACAUACAUUCACUUUGGUCUCUUCCUAUCAUGCAUGUGCCUAAAGAGUUGCUGCCGUUCAAAUUAGAUGCUUGUGUUUCAAAGUGAAGUGGUGCUGUAGCUGCAGCUCCCAUUUCAAAUUCUAGCAGAAAAAGAAAUUACAGAUGAACUUUCAACUGUAAAAGACAUGAAGUUUGCUAUGUGAUCAGUCAGCUUAAUAUUCACCAAACAAUAUGUAGGUACUAGCCAUAGGAUACACACCGGAUGGCAUCCUUUCUGAAUGAUCUGCAUUAAGCUGAUGAUGUGGCAGCACAUCUUCCCUGCAAAUUUCCUUGAACAGCAUACAUGUAAGAUGUAUAGCUAAUCACGUCCAUAUUGUUACUCAUAAGAGGAUCAUAUUCAGACUCACCUCAGUAGAUGAACGAAGUGGGAAAGGCCCAAAAUGAGCUCGGAUAGAUGAAUCCACGCCAAAUGAAGUUUCAGAAUUUAUUAUGUUGGGUACUGAUAGCUGGUUUGAGACAGAACAUUGAUUUGGGAGAUCGAAGAUAAUUUGUUCUUGGUUUUCUUGGUUUAUCGGAAGACUACAUGCUAUAUUCAUAUGCUGAGACCCACUUUCCUCAUCAAAUCCCCUGCUUAAUUGAGAGAGUUGGACUGGCGGUAGCAAUCCAGGUAAGCACAUUGGAUGCAAACUUAUUCCAUUUCUCAUAGACAACAUCUGGAACAUGAAUCAUCAAUUUAGCAACUUAGAAACAAACUUGGGUUAUCAGUUAUCUCUCAUGGCUUCAAUUUUGUAUUCUUCAUCCCUACUUGUUCUAGCAUUUUCAUUGAGAGAAAGAAGACAAAAACCUGGGCCAAGGCUAAUUAAGGUUUAGCGGGUGAACUAAUCAUGUUAGAUUAAAACUAGUGAAUUCCAAAGAGCAAAAGCAUGCCUAAAGUAAAAUCAUUACCCUUGAUGCACUUUGUGCAAUACUAGUUGGUUCAGAUAGUGAAACUAAGGGUGUGUUUGGUAGGAGGAAGGAAGGAAAGAAAGAUAUGUGGUGGCAUAACAUAACUUACGAGACAUUUAGGAAAGAAAAUAGAUAUUUAUUUGAAAAAAGUCCACAUUCAUUUCCUUCCACUCUUCUUUCCUCCCUACCAAACAUACCAUAAACCUUCUAUGAGACUUUUCUAACUUUUCAUCAGAAUAAAGUGGCAUGCAUCAUAGCUAGUUAUCUGGAUGAGUAUUUAUGAUCUCUAUUAAUUACACCAUCACUCAUUAAUCCACUCUAGCUAGCUCUAGUGAUAGCCACAUUUGUCCUUCGCCUUCGCCAAUUUUAACAAUUAGACCAGUUGAAUCCUAAAUGCCCCAGCUAUCAAAAAACUUCAUCAAACCAGAAGGAAAUGAGAAAUUGUGAUUCUAAUAUGUGCAUUCUUUUGUGCUACAAAACAAAAAAACAAAAACCAAAAAACUGUACUCCCUCAUUAACCAAAAAAAAAAAAAAAAAGUCUUCUUUCUUUUAGAAAACUCUUCUCCCCUAUUCCAGCUUUUUUCCUUUGGAGGGGAUUUUUAUAUUUUCUUCAGGAGAUGGAAUCAAACACAGAAAGUGGCCUUUCAUGCUAGUAAGUUAUCCUCUACUAAUCACUAUGGAUUUCUUAUGGUGUCCUAGUAAAGUUAUCCUAGUGAUGGAAUUGGCCCUCCACUUAUCAUUUUAGUAAUUUGGGAACAAAUUAUUUCCCAACACAGUUAGAUUCAACAUUGUUUAGACAGUUGUCCAUUUUGAAUGACGACCAACCACACCAUUGAGUUAAAAAAAAGUCAUCAAAUGGCUAAAAAACAUGAUUAGCAUAAAGAUGCCACAAACCUGUACUUGGAGCUGAAGCUGCUUGAGGUAUUCAAUAGCUUCGUCAAGCAUGGAAGCCUUAUCAGUCUGCCAUUA